rnacentral:lncRNA from 1 species
AUUUUGUGAGAUAUGAAGAAAAUUGCAUGCGGGUAUAUAAAGACAAAGAUUUGAAGCGGCUGUUAGGGUUUUCAAGAUAUCUCAAGAUCCGCAAUGAAUUUACAAUUGAAAAUUGUUAUAAAAGUUAAUAAGAAUAUAUCAGUACCUCAUGUAAAAUUUGAGUUUGUUUGGACGGUCGGAUUAGGAGAUAUGAGGUGUUGAAGUUCGGAAAAAUCUCCACAUAAGAAUAUAUAAGGUUUUAGAGGAUUUUAUCAUAUUUUGGAUGUUGUUGGUUACUUGAGGUUGUGUAUUUGGUAUAAUUGCUCAAAAGAGAAAAUUUAUAUAUAAACUUAGGGCUUCCUUUAUUUUGAAGCUUGAUUGAAUGAUUAGUGACAGCCAGAAGCGUAACAUUUUCUUAAGGCAAAUUCUCUCUACCCCGACACUGCCUUCUAUAGAAGUGGGUAGUAAUCAAAAAUUUGAGGUGGAAGAAGUUUUAGACUGAAGGUGGCACCGACAUAGGUUGGAAUAUCUUAUUCAUUGGCUCAGAUACAAUAUUAGUAAAUAGACAUGGGAGCCAAUAAAAAAUCCUACAAAUAUAGUAGAGAAGGUCAAAGCUUUUUAUCAAUGACAUCCAUCAAAAUUAAGAUAAGAGAUAGUAAACCUUUACUAUAAAAGAAUUACAAUUUAUGAAAGAUUACAUUCUACCUCCUAUCCUUGUUUGUAAUUUCUAUAUAAUUGUGGUGUUAAGGAUAUGGAGAAUCAAUAGCCAACGAAUUUAACUCAAGAGCCAUCAUUUACUAACUUAUUAGAUGAGAUAUUGCAACUAUCAAAGCCUUUAAGACAAAAUAAUAAAGGUGAAGACUUUCAAGAAUGACAUGUUUUUUCUCAAAUAGAUGGCAAGAUACAAUGUGUUUAAUUUCAUGACCUAGGAAGAGUCUUUCAAUGUUUGUUGGUUUUAUUGGAGGUAGAAACAACUCUUGAUGGUAUAACAAAUAUUUUAUUUGAAAGAAAUUUUGAAAGUUUUAACAAUGAUUAAAUAAUAGGGUGGUCUUUUUGCAUUGAAAUAGGAUAUUACCGAUAGCCAAGAGGACCUAUCAACUACCUUCAAAGAAAACAAAUAUUAAAAAAUAUGAUAAAUAUAUUUUGCCUCAUCUUAGACUUCUUCAAUAUGUAAUUACUCUUUUUUGUAGAACUUAUCUUUAGAAGGGGGAGUAAUGUCAUAGAUAUAUAUCUACUAUAAUUAUUAUUUAGAUAAUAUGAAUAAAUAAAAGUAGAUAAAAAUAGAUUAAUUUUAUAAUAUCUUCUAAAAUAACUUUUUAAAAGCUUUUUAGAUAUUAUUUUGACUUUAUAUGUAUUUAUAGAUGUGUCACGAAUUUAGAAUACUGAUUGGAAAUAAGAAGCUCAAGAAGAAUUGGCAAGAAUUAGAUUAAUGAGAUGAAUACAAGAACAACACUAGAGAGGUGAGUUAGAGCUCGAAGAGGUGUAUUGUCGAGAGUGAGGAUCUCCUCAGUUCUAGCUCCUAUAUAUACUACCAGCUAGGAAGCUUCUCAAGUAGCUUCCACAAACUAGGAAGCUUUUCAAGCAGCUUCUACGAGUUAGGAAGCUUCUCAAGUAGCUUCUACAAUCUAUGAAACUUCUCAAGGAGCUUCCAUGAGCUAGGAGGCUUCUCAAGCAGCUUCCACUAACUAUAAAGGUUUUCUAGAAUCUUUUAAAAUCUUCUACAACUUCCUAGUGUAUGUCCUUAACAUCAUUCCUCCCUUUAGCUUCGAGGUCUUUGUGAAGCACUCCUAUUGCGAGUUAAUACCAAUGUAAGAAGUUGAAAAUUUAUCGCAUAGUAUCUGUAAUAUACUCCAAUUGUUGUUUGAGCGACAAAUAGUUCAUUGAUCCUUGUAACCAACGAUAGUGUCCUACGCCUUUGAUUUUUGACCAGGCAUGAACUUCCGUGUCUUCAUUGUAAAAAUGCCUUACAAAUAUUCCUUUGGAAAGAUCAUCCUAGGUAGGGUCUACCUCAAAUACAAUCAUUAGCGACUUGUUACUAUGUAUCUUUUGUCGUCUUUGUAGUACAGGUAAUUCUUCAUCUCGGGGUCAUUUUUGUGAGAUAUUCGGUUGACAAGACAUAACUGGUAUGGUAUCUAUCUCUUAUCUAUUCAUAUCACACCAAAAAAUAUAAGCACUAAACAUAGAAGAAUGGGCUCAGGUUACAGAUUUAUAGUCUCUAACUAUGUCUUUUAGAGGUUCCUUCUCUCCUUUCUUUGUAAGGCCGAGGAUUAAGAGGCUUCAAGGAGAAGGAACUUCACUGUAAAACUUUCAUCGAAAGAGCUUAGGUUUCUGAGGAUAGUGCGAGUGAAACUCCUGUAUCUUUUGCUAGGCAUUGAUAAGAUUUUUUGUUGGUUCCCAUGUGUGCUCAUUGAUAUCAUAGCCGCUCUAAUGCACUAUGUACCCCAAUUUUUCUACUUACGUCGUAAAUCUAGUACCUUUUUUACCUCGUAUUCCUCGUGGUUCUCAAUUUCAAUACUAGGUGGCGGAUAUUGUACUCUUCCAGAAUAAUCUGACUCUCGAUAAGGUUCCAACAAAGAAACAUGAAAGAGUAAGUGUACCUUCAUAGCAGCUGGUAAUCCCAAAUGAUAUGCCACUGGAUUGAUUUACUUCUUGAUGACAAAUGGUCCCAAUCCCCUGUAGUCCAAUUUAUGACAUGGUUGCUUGGUUUUGAUAUUCAAUUGAAGCAGCCAUACUUUAUCUCCAAUUUUGAAAGAAGGUGCCUGAUUCUGAAAUUUGACUAUGGACGCCUUGUAAGCUUCUUGGGCGGUUUGCAAUUAAAGCUUCAACAUAGUUUGAAGCUCCGAUAGUUGUUUUGUAAAUCCUUUAGUUGCCGAAUUGUUAUUGGUUGAUGGUCUCAACAAAUCAAGCUUCGGAUGAUAUCCAUAGUUGAAAAAGAAUGGUGUUUGUUGAGUCGACGCAUGAAGGGUGUUGUUGUAUGAAAACUCAGCUAAUGAUAGAUAUGCAGUCCAAUCAUCUUGUUGAUAGUUGAUGCUGCAUCAUAAAUACUGCUCCAAAGUUUGAUUCAACCAUUUCAUUUGGCCGUCAGUUUGAGGAUGGAAAGCCAAAGAAAGCUUGAUAUCUACCUUCAAUAUCUCAAAGAGAGAUCUCCACAACUUUGAUACGAAUUGGAUUCCUCAAUCCGACACGAUAUCAUCUAAUAAACCAUAAUAUUGAUAUACACUAUCAAGAAAGAGCCUUGAUGUAUCUUUGCUUAUCGAUGUUUUCUUGCAAGGAACAAAGUGUGCCAUCUUUGUAAGCCGAUCUACCACAACAAGGAUGCUCUCAAAUGAAUUCGAUGGCGGCAAGUUUAUAAUGAAGUCCAUGGAAACUGAAGAUCAUGGUCGAUGUGAAAUAUGCAAUGGCUAAAAAAGACCAUAAGGAGGAUGCCGAGGAUUCUUGGAUCUUAAACAAAUGUCACAAGAGAGGACAAAAUCCUUGACAUCCUUCUACAUUUGGGGCCACCAAAAAUCUCGAGAAAUAAGUUUCAAGGUCUUAUUGAAUCCAAAAUGUCCUACAGCAGGAAAGUCGUAUCGAGAUUAGAGAACUUGGAAUCGUGUUGGUCUCUUUGGAAUAUACAACCGCUCCUCAAAGUGUAAAAGAUCUCCUUCUAUCUUGAACUUGUCAUUAUUUACACGUUGCAUGAUAUUGAAGGCUACAGAAUCUCCAAUAGUCACAAUACGUACUUGGUUGAGGAAGUCAACAUCAAUUGGCAUUAUAGCAGAGCAAAGCUUGAAUUGUUCUGACUUCAACAAUGUUGUAUACUAUUGAUCAAACGCUGCCUCUCUAGCCUUUGGCGCUAGAUACGAUCUCCUUGAUAAUACAUUGGAUAGUCUUUGUUGCUUCCUAAGCCAAUAAGUAAUAAUAAAAUUAAAUUUGGAUAGCAGUAUAUUCCAUCAAGCUUAACAACGAUUCAAAACCCGAGCCCACAUGAAAUACUCCAAAUUCUUGUGAUCCGUGUAUAUGGUCACCGGAUGUGCAGCUCCUUCGAGAAAGUGACGCCACUCUUGGAAAGAAUCCACUAUCGCAAGAAGUUCUUUAUCAUGGAUUUCAUUGUUGAUCUCGACAGCACAAAACUUUCAAAAGUAGAACGCAACCAGAUGAAGCUUCUCGUCUAUGCCUAUCUGUGAAAGUAUAAUUCUUAUAGCAAACUCUGAAGCAUCGAUCUCCAAAUAGAAGGCCUUUACAAAGUUCGGAUGUAUCAAGAUUGGAGCCAUAGUAAAUGCCAUCUUAAGAUCUUAAAAUACUUUUUUUGCUAGAAAUCUUUAUUCAAGCUUGUCUUUACAUGUCAAUCAAGUGAACGGAGCAGCAAUUUGAGAGCAAUUUUUGAUGAAGAUCCGAUAGAAGUUAGCAAAGCUAAGAAAGCAUUGUACAUCUCUAAUCGUUUUUGGGACUUCCCAUGAUACAAUUGCUUCCACCUUCUUAGGGUCCAUCUUCAAACCUUCCGUAGUUGCAAUGAAUCCCAAAAAUUCCAUCUCAGUUUGGUUAAACAAGCACUUCUCCAAUUUGGCGUAAAAUCCUUGCUUGCAAAGUUUUUCAAGGACCAGAUAAAUGUAUUUUUCAUGCUCUUCUAAUUUUUUGGAAAAUAUCAAAGUAUCAUCUAGAUAAAUGACAACAAAAUCGUCAAGGUGCUCCCGAAAGAUAUCAUUCAUUAUAUGUUGAAAGAUCACCGGAGCAUUGAUAAGACUGAAAGGCAUGACAUUAUAUUCAAAAUGGCCAUACCUUGUACAGAAAGCUGUCUUCCAUUCGUCUCCUUCCUUGAUUCGUACAAGGUUGUAAGCUCCUCUUAGAUCAAUCUUUAUAAAGAUCUUUGCAUGCCCAAGUUACUCUAGAAGACUGGAUAUCAAGGUUAAUGGAUAAUGAUUCUUCUUUGUCACCUUGUUGAAACCUCAAUAAUCCACACACAUUCAUGGCGAGCCAUCUUUCUUCUUCACAAAUAAGUUUGGUGCCCCAACUAGUGACUUUGAAUGACAAAAGAAGUUCUUGGCUAGAUUCUUAUCAAUAUACUUUCACAACUCCGCUAACACCAUCUCCGAAAAAUUGUAGAUUGGGCCAAAAAGUGAUUGUGCUUCUUCUUGUAAGUCUAUGACACAAUCAUAUUAUGGAUGCUCCGGUAGCAUGUUGACAUUCUUCUUUUGAAACACGUCUUUAAAAUCCAUAUAUUGCUCCAAAAUACUUGUUGUCAAAAUCUUCUCUCCGCUAGUUGGAGUCGCAUAAAUGACAAACGGUGUACCUUCUUGGGACGAUGUUAGAAAUGUUCUUGCUCCAAUAAAUAAAGAUUUUUGAUUCGAGAUCUUCUAAUAGGCUUACUCUCAGGAUGUUUUAUAGAAAAUAUCAUCUUUUGUAACAUCCAAUCUACGGAUGGAUUAUGCAUUUCUAACCAAGAAAGAACAAGAAUAACAGGGUUUGAUGGGAUUCUAAUAAUAUUGAAAAUAAAAUAAUUGCUAUGUUCUUUAAACGUCACCUCUAUAGGUUCUGAUUCAUGGAUGAUACUACUAGAUAAUAAAAGUCAUCCAUCUAUUACUUCUAUGUGAACGGGUUUACAUUUUUAUACUAGAAGUAUCUCAUGAUGCUUAGUAAAUUCUUCAUCUAAAUAAUACGGAGAUGCUCUUGAAUCUAAUAAUGCUAAGGUUUUUAGUUUUUGAGGGCCAAAAGAUAGAGGAAUGGUAAAGCAAUGAGUACGCUGAGCAAAAAGAAAAGAACUUCAUUGUUGUUGUGGUAAUGAAUUGUCUAGCCGCACGAUCCCUAUUAUGAUUGGGCAUCCUCAUUUUUCUGAACAAAUACACCUUUGGUCAAGUUGAGCCUUCUUUUUCUUCUAAAGUGGUUUAUUGCUAAAGAUCAAGUAAGGCCUUAAUCUUCACCAUCUUCUAUUUAACCUCAAUUUCAUCAAAGUGCAACCUUGAUGAACCGAUAGGCCUCAAAUGCCAAAGACAAAUCCUGCUACUUUGGUAAUUGAAUCAAUAGGAAGGUUCACUUGAUCAAGAGUAAGUUUACAACAAGAAAUCAAGACUUAAUGGAAUUAGAACAAGGACUUGGAGUAGAUUCAUCGAGAAUGGCAAAUGGAGAAGUGCAGCCUCAUAUAUCUACUCAACGACCUAUGCCAAAUUUUAUACAACAAGCUGAACCAUCACAUAUAGCUAUAAUUCUACUUGUGGAUGUGGUAAAUAACACGAGGCAAGCUCUAGCUUCUCUACCAACAGUGUUGACUAUUAUACUAUCUCGACCUUCUCAACUAAGGAUGCUACCAUGAAGAAUACCUAUAGUAGUGCCUCGAGGACUUCUUGAGAGGACAAUGCCUCUUAAUUUUUCACAAUUCAUAGGCUCUAGACAUGAAGAUCCUAUAGCCCUUGUUGAAAGAUUUUUGGAAUUAAUGACCUCUUAUAUGGUGUCUAACGAUGGUUAUUAUUUGAUUUGGUUUUCUACCAUAUUAGUAGAAGGUCCAUAUGCAUGAUAUAUGUCCUACAAUGCACAAACAUUCAAGACAUGGGAUGAAUUGUUAAUGGCAUUUUUAGAUCGAUUCCAACCUUCAACGGGACAACAAUAAGUAGUUGCUGCUUUAACAAAUAUGUGCCAGCAUCCCAUAGAGGAAAUUUUGGCAUAUAUAAGGCGUUUUAAAGAAGUUUGUAGUAGCUUUGUCAGUGAUUUGCUCCAUGAUACUACUAUUAGAGAUUACUUUCUUAAAGGACUAAAUCGGUCCUUAGUAUCUUGAGAAAUUUGGACGCAUAGGCUACAAAUAUUGGAUCAUGCAAUCGGAGUUGCUCUAUUCAUUGAAGAGACUGAACAAGAAAAUAAAAGAGCUAGGGAUCGAAGAGAAGAUCUAAUUCCUAGCUACCUUCCAAUAAGAUAUGACCCUCAUGCAAGCUAUGUACAAAAUCCUAUGAAAGAUUCAAGAUAUGGUCAAUAUGCAUAUCCAUAGGUACCACAGCUUAAUUUUGUGCAACCUUUGGCUUCAAGAGAACCUCCUCUUUUAGCACCUACUACUUAUAAUCUUGUAGUAACUUUGGAGAGAUUAGAUAUUGACAAGGCUGGAAAAGCACGAGAAGAUAGAAUGCUUAAGGCCAUAGAAACUUUGGAAGAAUAGAUUUCAUGCUUGAUGAAGGAUGGAGGAAGGCCUCUAUCAUUUCAAUAUGAAUCAGGAGCUCAUACAACAUUAUUAUAGUAUCCAAGUUGUAGACAACAAGGUCAUUCAAUACAAAAUUGUCCCUAUGCUCGACAAUUUCAAGAUAUAAGGUAAGCUAGUCAAUUACUACCACCUUAUAGGCCUCUACAUCUUCACCAAGGCAAAGAGGCUUCUCAACUACAAAAACAAAGAUAUCCACUAUGUAGAACAUGUGGAAAAUUCCAUAUUCUUGAUACAUGGUAGAAUUGGCAAGAAUGAAAGCAAGGCAUGGUCGCAUGAAGGCAAGGAAUAGGGGACUUCAUUCCUAUUGGUCGAAUACCAUGCCCAAUGGGCUUUAAGGAGGCUGCGUGUAAUUUUAUGAAGGAUUUAUGUGACUUUAAAGGAGGCAUUCGGAGAUUGGAAGCUAGGUUUGUAAAUUUUAGGAUUUGAAGAACAAUUUGUUUACAAAAAUUAGAGGAUUUGGACUUAGGAUGAAAACGUUAUAACCGUUUGAAGUUAAGGUGUUUAUUUAAGACAUACUAUUAUUCUUUUGAAAGUACGAGGAGUUUUACAGUAGGUUUUGAAGAUCGAAAGGUGCGAUUGGAACGGCGAUUUCAAGGCCUACAUCUUGCAUGAAAGAAUUAUUACUUUUGGAGUCCAUAUGAAAGAAUUGUAAGGAGUUGAAAGCGACACUUCAAAAUCAAAAGUAGUAAGUAAGCGGGUUUUUUUUGUAGUAAUGGUUGGAGCCAUAACUUGAGUUUUUGAACGAAUUUUUGGCUCAAAAUUUUUAGAAAAUGUAAAACUUUGUGUUAAAAAGCUAUGCAUAUAAAUUUCGUAGCAUUUGAGCUUAUAUUUUGUGAGAUAUGAAGAAAAUUGCGUGUGGAUGUAUAAAGACAAGGGUUUGAAGCGAUUGUUAGGGAUUUCAAGAUAUCUCAAGAUCUGCAAUGAAUUAGCGGUUGAAAACUGUUGUAAAAAUUAAUAAGAAUACAUCAGUACUUCAUGUAAAAUUUGAAUUUGUUUCGACGGUCAGAUUAAGAGAUAUGAGGUGUUGAAGUUUGGAAAAAUUUCCACAUAAGAAUAAACAAGGAUUUAGAAGAUUUUAUCAUAUUUUGGAAGUUGUAGGUUACUUGAGGAUUGUGUAUCUAGUGUAAUUACUCAAAAAGAGAAAAAUUAUAUAUAAACUUAGGGCUUCCCUUAUUUUCAAGCUUGAUUGAAUAAUUAGUGACAGCCAGAAGCCAAACAUUUUUUUGAGGCAAACUCUCUCUACCCCAACAACGCUUAAGCAACUAGUUAUUUCCCGUGUUCGAAUCCUCCUAUACGGGUUUAUUCUGGGAAGUUUCUUCCAAAAUAAGUAAAACAAGCAAUCACAUUUUGGUGCCACUGCCAAGGAGUGAUAAUAGCUUUGAGUGUUAGGAAUUAAUUACCAAAUGUGUGUUAAAAUUUGCAAUGGAAGGUGAUUUUAAUAGUGUUUGAAGCAAGAUUAUGGUUAAUAAGAACGAGAGCAUUGCAUCAAGAAAAAUAAAUCAAUUGAGAAAAAGACAGGGAAGAGCGCAAGGAAAAAAAUUGCUUAGAGAUAAGCAAGAACAUAAUCUUAAAAGGAAGCAUCGACAAAAUUAGAUUAAACCAUGGUUGUAAGCUUAUCGGUGCAUCCAAACAUAUCAAGAAUUGGACAGACAGGUAAUUCUGCAGUCGUAUGUACCGUUAGAAAAACUGCCAAGAACACUUGUGGGAAAUUUUAUUAACAUUCCAGUGGAAAUCUUGAGGCCGUUAACUGAAAGAGAAAGAGGCGUAGAAGAAUUUGGUACUCUAUUGGAUAUUUUUCUAGUAGGGGGUACUUCUGAAACGAGCAAUAAUGGCUCGUCAGAUUGGCACAAAUUGGUCGCCAAUAAAUAUAACUAUAUUAUAUUUCAAAAUCCGAUGUUUUUACCUGCAGAUCAAUCAAUAAAACUAAUUACGGAAAAUAACAAUAAAUCAAGGAAUAAUAAGAGCUUAGAAAUUAGAAUAAAAAAAAGCAGAGAUUAUUUUAAAAUAGAGUUUAGCGAAACAAGAAAUUCAAUGGUGUUAGGAGGACCAGCCAUUUCGAUUGCAGUACAAAUUGGUGCAAUAGGUGAUCGUACGACUAGUAUCACGCCACUACCUACUGUUCGGAGAUUUUUGCAUGUAAAUCUUGAUCAACAUUUAUUUCAAUUUCUUACAGCAUGUAUAGCUAAUAAUGGCAGAACUGAAGAUAUUUGGUUGCGAUGGCUGCCAGCGACCUUAAAAGACACGAUGUUUGAAUGGUACAACCGCCAACCAGUGGAUCAAUUUUCGAAUUGGGAAGCAUUGAAGAAUACAUUUUUAUCUCAAUUUUGGCUAAUUGGUUUUGAUGACCGCCUUCGAGAGAGGUUAAUGAACAACAAAAUGAUCCUAGGGAGGCGAUGGAAUCGUACUAUGGCCGAGUAGUUGAUAUACUCAGUAAGUGGCCGAAUCACCAAAUGCCAGAGGUAUUUAUCUUGCCCAUAGUAAUCAAUAGUUUGCACCCACAAGAGCUAAAAAUGUUUGUAAAGGAAGCUCAAACUGUUAUGGUGGCUGCAUCCCUUAAUAGAGCCAAGGUUUGGGAGGAAUGCCAUUAUGAUCAGUUUUUAACUCCGGGAGCCACAAUGAUUUUAGUUCAAGGUAGAUAUCAAAAUCUGACUUGGAAUGAAUCAGUGGGUAGUUAUCCAUGGAUGUUAGAAACAUGGGCCAAUUCCAAUACCAAUAUUCAGGGGCUAGUUAAUGUCACCCCAUUGCAAGCUAUACCACCGAACGUGACAACAGCAUAUGCUCCAUAUUUUCCGUUGUCGUGUUGUAACACGAGUAUAUCGUGAAAAUAUAAAGAAAGGGGACUUUUAUUAAUGUUCAGUUACCUCAAAUAUUGGGAGCAACGACCAACUCCAGUGCAAAUACUCAGUAGCUAGGUUUAGUCACCCCGUUACAGUCAGUUAGGGCAUACUGAAAUGCUCCAUUCGAUUCCAAUAACAGGAGUCAGCAGGAAGGGAAAGGACCAAUUCACGCGAUGGGUGAGCCUGGUUCGAGAAUCCAAUCCAAUUUCGAGAAUCCAAUCCGGGUCUUAAUACUGGACUCUUAUCCAAUAUAAGACCUAAAUUGGCCGGGCAACCCAAUGCAGUCUAAUUACGGGAAAAUCUAGGUCUUACUACGGACCUUAGCCAAUCUGAUGCGAAGACCAAUUGGAUCCAAUUACGCAAACAUCCAAAUUACUACUAGCAUCUUACCCAAUAUGAGACCUAAAAUGGUCGCGCGACUCAAUGUGGACCCGAGUACGGGGUUUCGAUUCUGUUUCAGGCUGUCCUAUUCUCUGUGCCAUUUCAAGGAACGUUAUUUUCGGUAAAUAGAUCUCUUAAAGGUAAAAAUGGAGGAGAAAGCUUUGAUGGCGAGAGCCAAUUUCGGAUCUAAGCUCUGACGGUAGGAGCCAAUUCCGGAUCCAAGACGGAAGAUUGAAGAAAUUCAGAGGAUAAGAUUAGGAGGAGAAUAAGUUUUGGAGAGGGUUUUUUUUUUCGGAUCAAAGGGGAGGGGGGGGGGGGUUUUUGGAUCGAAGAGCUAGCUUCAAGUUUUUUUCAAGGUUACUAGUUCGGUUUUUAUUGGAGGUUUUUGAAAAUUAAGGGGAUUGGAGAGGAGCUUCAUGCUUCGGGUCGGGGAAGAAAAGACGGAGAAUUGGAUUUUUCUUCUUCAUAGAGUUUUGCGAAGACUGAGGCAAUCGUUGCUGAAGUCAGUAUUGUAAUGGUGAAUCGGGAUUUUUAAUGAAGUGGGUGUGAUCACUCUUGACUGUUUGUGAAAUCGAGUUACGUCUGUGAUUGAAGGAUUAAAAGGGUGUCUAUAGGAUUGAGUAUGUGGAGUGAAUGAAAUUUAUUGAGUUAAUCUAACAAGACAGUCAGUGGAUACAAGAUUGUAAGUACAAAGCGGUAUCGGAGAUUACUAGAUUGGGUUGUUCGAGGUUCUCUGUUAUUUCUAGAGACCUACCGGCUGGGACAAAAGGGACUUUGACAAGCAGUCGAAGGGCAUCCAUAUAGAUUUACAGUAUAUUCUUGCAGUCGUUUAUAUUCCAGCAGUCAAAAACUGAUAGACUGCUUGAUUAUUGGCAAAUCUCCAUGCUACCUUCUACAGCCAGAUGCCCUGCGCGUUCUCGAGCAAGAAAGCGACACCGUAUCAACAACAAGCGUUAACUACGGCAGAGAUACUAAUAAUGUCAGGCCUAAAAGAUUCCAAUGAAAUCUUGUUAUUGAAUUUGACGAAGAAAAUGGACGAAAUGGCGGUCAAUAUGGUCAAAGAUAAAGAGAAGAGGCAAAAGUCUACCAAUACUAGGUCCAAUGUAUGGUGCGGUAAUUGUAAGGGCCACGGUCAUUCUGUAAAAGAAUGCUCCUUACCCUCACAAAUAAUGGAUCAAUGUACAUUUUAUCAAAGAAAGCACCUAACAGCAAAUUGUUGGAAUUGGUAAAGACAACAACAAUAAUUUAGUAAUCAGACCAUGUUCCCACCAACCCAGUGAGACAUCAAUCAAGUACAAAUAUGAAAUACGUUUGGAUGGAAUGGAAAUUGAUUCAAUCGACAAAAUUGAGCAUUCAAUAACUUUCAAAGUUCCAAUUUUAAUCAAGGGUCUGUAUCGAACCCCCAGAACUAUGGUAAGAAGCAGUAGAGGUAUCAGCAAUAUGCUCCACCGAUGUCAUUAAACCAAGUUCUCUUAGUAUCAACAGUGUUGGGAUAGAGAGGUUUUGCCUCAAAAAAGCGCUGGGCUUCUUGCUAUCACUAAUUGCUCAAUCAAGCUUAAAAUAAGGAAACCCUAAUUUCAUACAUAUAAGUUCUCCUUUUGGGACAAUUACACCAAAUACUUAAGUCUUAAAUAACCAACAACACCCAAAAUAUGGUAGAAGUACUCUAAAACCUUGUAUAUCCUUGAGUAGAAAUUCUCCUGAAACUCAACACCUCAUAACUCUUGAUCCAACCGUCCAAACAAGAUCAAAAUUUACAUGAAGUACUGAUAUGUUGUUAUUAAUUUGUACAACAAAUUUCAUCCGCAAAUUCGUCGCGGAUCUUGAGAUGUCUUCAAAACCCUAAUAGUCGCUUCAAACCCUAAUCUUUAUUUACUCGCGCGCAAUUUUCUUCAUAUCUCACAAACCAUAAGUCCAAAUGCCACGAAACUUAUAUAGAUAGCUUUUUAACACAAAUGUUUACAUUCUCGCAAAGUUUGAGCCAAAAUUUCGUUCGAAAACUCAAGUUAUGGCUCCUAACACUACUUUGAACAAAACCGUUCACUUACUGCCAUUGAUUUGAAUGCGCUGUCUUUAACUCCCUAUAACUCCUUUACACAAACUCCAAAUGCAAACUUUCCUUCGCAAAAGAUGUAUGUCUUGAAGUUGCCCUUCCAGCCGCACCUUCCGAUCUCCAAAAGCUUCCGUAAGACUCCUCUUAAACUCAAAAGAGUAACAGUAGGUCUCAAAUUGACACCUUAACUUCAAACGGCUAUAACUUAUUCACCCUAACUCCAAACCCUAUAAAAUUUCCACAAAAAUUGUAUCCAGAACCCUUAAAUUUACAAUCCUUGCCUCUGAUUUCCUAAUGGCUUCUUUGAAGUCGCCGAAACCCUUAUCAAGGUCGCGGGCAGCCUCCUAAAAGCCCAUUGGGCAUGGAUUUCGACUAAUGGGGAUGAAGAUCCUUAUUUCUACCUUCAUCCAACCAUGCCUUGGUUUCAUCCCUCCCAAUUAACCUCCUAUUAGUUUAAAUCUUCAUCUUUAGGCCCCUAUCUUCUCUCAAGGCUUCAUACUUAACAUUAAGGUUCUAUAACUUUUAUAUACUAUAAUCAAACUAAAUAAAAAAAACAAAAUAAAGUUUUUUUCAAGUCCGUGUUAGGGACAUAAUCCUUAGAACCUUCUAGAGACAAGUUUCUAGAACCUUCUAGAGACAAGUUUCUAGAACCUUCUAAAAACAAGUCUCUGGAACCUUCUAGAAGCUUCCUAGUUGAUAGGAGUUGGUUGAGAAGCUUCCUAAAUAGGAGUAUAUAUUAGAAUCGAGGCUGAAGAGUUCUUCAGUCUCGACAACACAUCUCUUGGAGCUCUAGCUCAUCUCUCUGGUGUUGUUCUCAUCUGAUUAAUUUAGUUCUUGUCAGUUCUUUUUAAACUUCUUAUUAGUUCUCGAGUCUGUAUUUCUGUGUCCAUGACAGUUUAUCGAGACUACACUCACCUCAGAUAUCAGAGCUAGUUUUUCUUUAUUAGAGUGUGGAUUACCCCUUUGUUUGGAAGUGUACUAGCAUUUUAGAGGUUGCGGAUUACCCUCCUCUAAAUUGAUACUUCUUUUGUUAGAAUAUUGGAGUCUUAUUCUUCUUGGAAAGAGUGGAUUACUCUUUCUCUUGAAGCUCUUAAGGCAUUUUUGAGGUUGCGGAGUACCGUCCUCUAAACCAAUAUUAUCUUCUUGUAGAGUCAUUUUUGUCCUUCUCUUAGAAUGGCCGGGGGCCAAGACAUUAGUAUGACGGAAGGUUCGGAGUUCAAGUUAGAUGCUAUCAUAAAUGCCCUCUCUACGUCAUCGCAAAGAAUUGCAGAGAUUGAAGGAGUCGUGGCAAGGCUUCAUAAUGAUGGAGCAUUUGGGAUGGUACAAUCUAAGUUGCACCAGCCUCAAACUACUGCACUUGGAGAAGCAACUUUGCCUCAGGUUCGACAAGCACCGCUGAUUCUACAACAUAAAGAGUCACGAGUUAGCCUUCCGGACAAGUUCGAUGGUAUGCAUUCUAAGUUUCGAAGAUUUGUCAAUCAAAUUAGGUUGAUAACAGUUUUAGAGCUCAAACGCUAUCCAACGGAGGAGUCACGUGUUGGGCUUGGAAGAACCUUAUUUACAGAACAAGCUCUAUCAUGGUUUGCUCCUUUGUUUGAGAAAUGAUCGUCCAUACUAAACAACUUUGAAACCUUUUUGGAGGCAUUUGCGGAAGCAUUUGGUCAACACGACAAGGUUUGAUGGGCUAUAACAAAGAUCCGGUCACUAUGACAAGGGAUGCGCUCUACAUCAGUCUAUGCAUCGGACUUCAGGCAAUUAACAUGCAACAUCAAUUGAGACAAAGAAGCGUUGAUGAGUCAAUUCUAUUGGGAUUUAAGGGACGAUGUGAAGGAUUUGCUGUUAACUCUUCCUGAUCCACAAACGCUCAACGAAGCUAUUAGCCAAGCUGUGAAGUGCGAUAACUGCCUAUUCUAACGCUGCCAAGAUCAACGUUUAAGACAACAUACGGUUCGCCACAUCCCAACUAUGUCAACAAGCAAUGUGAAUUCACAUUCAGAGGUAGAAGACAUGUAAAUUGAUGCGAUACGUGUCAAAUUUCUUACUCUAGAAGAAAAAAAGCGACGUAUCGAGGAAGAUCUAUGCUUGUAUUGCGGUGAAGAAGGCCACAAAGUUGGAAACUGUCCCAAGAAGCAAAAUCGACGUAUUGUCGAGACUAGAGUUGUGUUUACUCAAAAAAAUGAGGAUGCCUAGCCACAAUAGGAGCCAUGCAGCUGGACAGUAAAAUAUUGCAACAACAACCAGGUUCUUUUCUUUCCGCUCAACCUGCCCUUUGUUUUAGAAUCUUUUUGUUUAUUGGCCCUCAGAAACUAAGAACUUUAGCAUUAUUAGAUUCAGGAGCAUCUGCUUAUUUUUUAGAUGAAGAAUUUGCAAAGCAUCAUAAGAUUCCUUUAGUAUAAAAAUCCAAACCUGUUCACGUUGAGGUCAUAGAUGGGCGACCUUUAUUGUCUGGUAGUGUCACCCAUGAAUCAGAACCUAUUGAAGUGACGUUUAAGGGCCAUAGUAGUCAUAUUAUUUUCAAUAUUAUUAGAAUUCCAUCAAAUCCUAUUAUUCUUGGUCUUUCCUGGUUGGAAAAGCAUAACCCAUCCAUAGAUUGGAAGUUGUGGAAGAUGACCUUUCCCACAAAACCACCCAAAAGCAAGUCUAGUAAAAAACCCCGAAUAGAGAAAUCCUUAUUUAUUGGAGCAAGAGCAUUUAUAAGAUCAUCGAAGAAAGGCACACCAUUUGUCAUUUAUGCGGCUCCAACUACUGGGGUGAAGAUCUCGACAACAAGUAUACCGGAGCAAUAUAAGGAUUUUAAAGACAUGUUUCAAAAGAAAAAUGCCAACAUGCUACCAGAACACAGACCAUAUGAUUGCGCCAUAGACUUAUAGGAAGGAGCACAACUACCUUUUGGCCCAAUUUACAAUCUAUCGCAGAUGGAAUUGGCGGAGUUACGGAAGUACAUUGACAAGAAUCUAGCCAAGAACUUCAUCCGUCAUUCAAAAUCGUUGGCUGGAAUAUCCAUCUUAUUUGUGAAGAAGAAAGAUGGCUCAUUACGGAUGUGCCUGGACUAUCGAGGCCUCAACAAGGUAAUAAAGAAGAAUUGUUAUUCGUUAUCCUUGAUUUGUGGUCUCUUAGAACAACUUGGACGUGGAAGGAUUUUUACAAAAAUUGAUCUAAGGGGAGCUUACAACCUCGUUUGAAUCAAGGAAGGAGAUGAGUGGAAGAUAGCGUUCCGUACAAGGUAUGGCCAUUUUGAGUAUAAUGUCAUACCCUUUGGUCUUACCAAUGCUCCAGCGGUCUCUCAACAUAUGAUGAAUGUCAUUUUUUGAGAGUACCUUGAUGAUUUUGUUGUCAUCUAUUUGGAUGAUAUUUUGAUAUUCUCCAAAAAUGAGGAAGAGCAUGAAAAGCACGUUCGUUUGGCCUUGGAGAAACUACCUGAGCGAGGACUAUAUGCCAAGUUGGAGAAGUAUUUAUUUCACCAAAUAGAGAUGGAGUUUUUGGGGUUCAUUGCGACUACCGAAGGCUUGAAGAUGGACCCCAAGAAGGUGGAAGCAAUCGUAUCUUGGGAGGUUCCAAAGACGGUGAGAGACGUACAAUGCUUUUUUGGCUUUGUUAACUUCUAUCAGAUCUUCAUCAAGAAUUAUUCUCAAGUUGCUGCUCCUCUCACUCGAUUGACAUGGAAGGAUAAGCUGGAAUGGAAACCUCUAGCAGAGCAGGCAUUUAAAGACCUAAAAAUUGCAUUUAUUACGGCUCCAAUCUUGAUACACCCAGACUUUACAAAGGCCUUUUAUUUAGAAACUGAUGCUUUGGAUUUUGCUUUGGGAGCUGUACUUUCAUAAAUGGGAGAAGACAAGAAGCUCCAUCCGGUUGCAUUCUAUUCUCAAAAGUUCUCUGCUGCUGAAAUCAAUUAUGAGAUCCACGAUAAGGAACUUCUUAUUGUAGUUGAUUCUUUCCGAGAAUUGCAUCAUUUUCUUGAAGGAGCUACACACCCAGUGACCGUAUGCACUGAUCACAAGAAUUUGGAGUAUUUCAUGUCUGCUCGAGUUCUAAAUCGACGUCAAGCUCGGUGGAGUAUGUUGCUAUCUAGAUUCGAUUUUGUUAUCACUUAUCGACCUAGAAAGUAGCAAGGACUAUCUGAUGCCUUAUGGAAGAGAUCGUAUCUUGUACCAAAGACUAGAGAAGCAGCGUUUGAUCAACAAUGUACGACGUUGUUGAAGCUAGAGUAAUUUUGACUUUGUACUACUAUUGUACCAAUUGAUGCUGACUUCUUGAAUCAGGUACGUGCCGCGACCAUUAAAGAUUCAGUAGCCAUUGAUAUCAAGCAGCGUACCAAUGACAACAAGUUCAAGGUGGAGGAAGAUCUUUUAUACUUUGAGGAGCAGUUGUAUAUCCCAAAAGGACAAGCACGACUCCGAGUUCUUCAAUCUCGCCACAAUUUUCCAACUGCGAGACAUUUUGGAUUCAACAAGACUUUGGAGCUUAUUUCUCGAGAUUUUUGGUGGCCCCAAAUGUAGAAGGAUGUGAAAGAUUUUGUCCUCUCCUGCGAUAUCUGUUCAAGAUCUAAGAAUCCUCGGCAUUGCGUUUAUGGACUUCUACAGCCAUUGUCGAUUCCACGUCGACCAUGGUCUUUAGUUUCCAUGGACUUCAUCAUGGACCUUCCAUCAUCGAACUCAUUUGACAGCAUCUUUGUCGUGGUAGAUCGACUUACAAAGAUGGCGCACUUUGUUCCUUACAAGAAGACAUUAUCCAGUGAAGUCACAGCAAGGCUCUUUCUCGAUAAUGUGUAUCGAUAUCAUGGACUACCAGAUGAUAUCGUAUGAGAUCGAGGAACCCAGUUCGUAUCAAAGUUUUGGAGAUCUCUCUUUGAGAUACUGAAGGUGGAUAUCAAGCUUUCUUCGGCUUUUCAUCCUCAAACUGACGGUCAAAUGGAACGGGUGAACUAAGUCUUGGAACAAUACUUACGAUGCAGCAUCAACUAUCAAGAAGACGAUUGGACCACAUAUUUGCUGUUAGCCGAGUUUGCAUAUAACAACACCUUCCAUGCGUCGACUCAAUACACACCAUUCUUUUUCAACUAUGGAUAUCAUCUAAAGCUUGAUUUAUUGAGUCCGUCAACAAAUAAGAAUCCAACAACGAAAGGAUUUGUGAAACAACUAUCAGAGCUUCAAAAUAUGUUGAAGCUUCAAUUACAAUGCGCUCAUGAAUCCUACAAGGCGUUUGUAGAUAGAUUUUGAAAUCAAGCACCUACUUUCAAAAUUGGAGAUAAAGCAUGGCUUCUUCGAUGGAAUAUCAAGACCAAGCAACCAUGUGAUAAGUUGGACUAUCGAAGAUUGGGACCAUUUAUCAUCCAGAAGCAAAUUAAUCCAGUGGCGUAUCGUCUGGAAUUACAGGCUUCUAUGAAGGUACAUCCCGUCUUUCAUGUUUCUUUGUUAGAGCCUUAUCGAGAGUCGUCUAUUCAUGGAAGAUUGCAAUGUCCGCCACCUAGUAUUGAGAUUGAAAACCAUGAGAAAUACGAGGGUGAAAAGGUACUGGAUUCACGACAAAGGUGGGGCAAAUUGGAGUAUCUUGUUCAUUGGUACGGCUACGACAUUAAUGAGCGAACGUGGAAGCCAACUAAAAAUCUCGCCAAUGCGCCACAAAAGGUACAGGAGUUUCAUCAACAACAUCCUCAUAAACCUAAGCCGGUUCGACGAUAGCUUCCUUCUGAAGCUUGCUCAUCCACCAAUAUAAGAAAGAGGGAGAGCACUACCAAAAUUUGUAGUUGAUGUAGUUAUUUUCUCCAAGAUAAAAUAGAAUUUUUUCAAUAGCCAUAGUUUGGUCUUCUGAUAUGGAUAGCCAAGAGAUAGAUACUAUGCUAGUCAGAUUAUCUCAACUGACUAGCUCACGAAGGCGACCCCAAGAUAAAGAACUGCCUACACCAUGACGACGACGGAGGAUACCGAGUAACCAAUCACUGGUGAUUUUAUUUGAGUUCGAGCCUGCUUACGAUGGUCAGCCAAAAGGCGUGUUUGCUGGACAAUUUCAUAAUGAGGAUACGGAAGUUCAUGCUUGGUCACAAGUUGAAGGAGUGGGCCACUAUCGUGGGCUUCAAGGGUCGAUGAACCACUUGCCUCGUGAACAACAGUUGGAGUUCAUAGCAGACGUUAUGCGACAGAUCUUCAUUUUCUUACGUUGGUACUGAUUAACAACAACAUUGCUUCUCAAAGACCUCGAAGCUAAAGGAGGGGGUGAUAUUAGGGACAUAAUCUUUAGAAUCUUCUAGAGAGAAGUUUCUAGAACCUUCUACAAACAAGUUUCUAGAACCUUCUAGAAGCAAGUCUCUGGAACCUUCUAGAAGCUUCUUAGUUGGCAAAAGAUAUUAGAGACAUAGUCCUUAGAACCUUCUAGAUAUAAGUUUCUAGAACCUUCUAGAAACAAGUCUUUGGAACCUUCUAGAAGCUUCCUAGUUGGUAGAAGUUACUUGAGAAGCUUCCUAAAUAGAAGUAUAUAUUGGAAUCGAGGCUGAAGAGUUCUUCAGUCUCGACAAUACAUCUCUUGGAGCUCUAACUCACCUCUCUGGUGUUGUUCUCAUCUAAUUAAUCUAGUUCUUGCUAAUUCUUUUUAAACUUCUUGUUAGAUCUUGAGUCUAUAUUUUUGUGUCAUUGACAGUCUAGGGCGAAAGACUAUCUUACAUCACGGAGAAAAAUCAAAAGCAAUGAAACGCAAAAGAAUAUUGGAAAUUACUCUCAAUAUGGAAUCCUACGACAUUCUAAAGGAUUUGGAUGUUAUUCAGCCUUGAAUUACAAUGAAGCAACUUUUGGCUGUAGCAUUGGAAUGUCGAUCUACAUUGAAUUCAGUGCUAAUACGACGAAGAUUCCGCACUAAAGAAAUUCAUGAAGUUAGCUUGAACCCUGAUCCGAGAGCAUCAACAAUCGAUGUAUCAAUCGAUGGCAUUUUAAUUCCAAGGAUACAAGUCGAUGGUGGUUCCAGUGUGAAUUUAAUGAACACGGAUACAAUGGAGGAUUUGGAUCUAAUGCAAUUGCUAUCUACGACAUUGAUAUUGUAUUUGGCAGAUCAUAGUCGGAUAAAGCCAAUGGAAAUCUUAUGAAAUAUUGCCAUUGUAAUCGUGGGAUUGACAUACAAAAUCGAUUAUAUUAUAUUUCGAUUAUUGAGUUCUACGUUAUUGUAUCCUAUUUUAUUGAGCAGACCUUGGCUUUAUCAAGCCAAAGCUAAGAACGAUUGGAGCUGUGGCACAUUGACAAUUGGAAAAGGCUGGGACCAGAUUAUUCUAUAGAUGUAUCUAGUAUAAUAUCAUGGAGAAUCUCAAUUGCCAAAAUCUGAAUUUAUAUCGGACAACAAGAGUCAAUCGAUUGAAGAAGAUGCCGAUGCUAUAUGUUCACCACAAUUUGGGGUAGGACAAAACACUUCAACAACAAAGGCAGGAGUCUACCAAUGUGGAGGUCUUGAUGAAUAUUUACUGCAUCAGGAGGAUGCGACUAAUUCGGAUCAUGCUAUUGCCGAAUGGAUGAAUAAUUUUGCAAUCAAUAGAAUCAACACAUUGGAACCAGAUUUGGGUGGUUCCCAUAUGUUGGAUAAUACAAGAUAUUCAGAUCAAGAGAAUAUAAUUAAAUCAGAGGUUGUUGAUGACUAUAUGUAUCAAUCUAUUAACCUGAGCACCAACAAAAUGCCACAGCUAAUUAAAAUAUAUGCCGAUAUUAUCGGUAUAGAUUUGAAUGCUUGGAAACAAUUUUUCGUCCAUCACAAAUCUACCUUUGCGUAGUUGUAUGCGGAUUUGAAAGGGAUUGCAGCCGAUGUGUGUGAGCACCAGAUUAUUUUAGAGGAGGGUGUUACGCCAGUUCGUCAAAGACAACACCAGCUUAUCCCAAAAUAUUUCUUUUUAGUAAAAGAAUAAUUGGAUAAACUUCUUAAUGUGGGUUUUAUUUAUCCUGUUCCGCAUAGUGCAUAGGUGUUGUCAAUUGUGAUGGUGCCAAAAAAGAAUGGAAAAAUUUGGAUAUGUCAGGAUUUUUGAAAGUUAAAUGCGGCCAUCAAGAAAGAUUACUUUUCAUUACCUUUCACGGAUAGUAUGGGUAACAUGUUGUCAUUAUUACCAAGUAGUAAAAAAAAUAGGAGUGGGGCACCAGUUAAAGUCAUUCUGUGGUAUUGUUUUGGGUUGGCUAGAGUACCAUUUUCUUGUAUUUCUUAUAUUUUUGAAAGUAGUAGUUCCAGUUGAGACAUAACAGUGGGGAGCCAGUCACAAGUGUCGAUUGAAGAUAUUCUAGAAUGGAUGAGUCAGUAGCAACAAUAAUUGGAACUUCGGGAUGUCCAGAUCUUAAAACUGGAUGCUCAAGUCCGUGUACUACGUGAAUAUAAUGAAGAUCUCUCAAACCAAUUGAGGAAAGAAUCCAUUGACUCACGAAAGAAGAAGAAGAUUUGUAGUUGGAACCGGAAUCAAUAGAACCAAUAACGGAUACUGCGGCAAUUGAUUAAUUAAAUAGGCUAGAGGGAUCGCAAGUUUUGUGGAGAUUUGUAAGAUAAUUUUUAAAUAGGUAUCAAAUGAGUGUUUGCGAGGAUGCUGCACAGAUAGGAGUGGAGCUAUACAAAAUAGAUAUUAAUUCAUUUUUGAAAAAUAUUGAUAAAAUAUAUUAAUAGCCCAUAUAAUAGGGAAUUUAGGAGGAUGGAUAAGUGAUUUAAUUCUUAAAAGUGGUUAAUUAUAGAAUUACGGAGUCGUAUUAUGUGCUUUCCUGCUCGAGAACGUGUUGGGAAUCUAGUUAUAGAAGGUAGUAUGGAGAUUCGCUAAUAUUCAAGCAGUCCAUCGAUUUUUGACUGUUGGAAUAUAAACAACUACAAAAAUAUAUCAUAAAUCUAUAUGGAUGUCCUUUGACUGCUCGUCGAAGUCCUUUUUGCCCCAGCCGGUAGGUCUCUUGUCAUUACAGAGAACCCCGAACAAUCCAAACUGCUAAUCUUUGAUACCGCUUUAUAUUCACGAUCUUGUAUCCACUGACUGUCUCAUUAGAUUAACCCAAUAAAUUUCAUUCACUCCGCACACUCAAUCCUAUAGACACCUUUUUAAUUCUUCAAUCAUAGACGUAACUUCGAUUUCACAAAACAUUCAAGAGUAAUCACAUCCACUUCAUUAAAAAUCUCGAUUCACCAAUACAAUAUCGACUUCAGCAACGAUUGCCUCAGACUUACCAAAACCCUACAAAGAAAAAAAACCUCAAUUUUCUAUCUUUAUUCCCCUUCCAAAGCAUGAAGCUAGCUCUCCGACCCUUCUAAAGAAAUCUUAUUCUCUCUCCCUUCAUUUCUUAAUCUCUCCUCUCUUUUAACCCUAAUUCUCUCCUUUUUUAAACCCUAGCCUCUGAAUUUCUUCAAUCUACCAUCUUGGAUCUGGAAUUGGCUCCCGCCGUCAGAGCUUUCUCCUCUGUUUUUACCUUUAAGAGAUUCUUUUAUUGAAAGGACGUUCUCGGAAUAGCACAAAGGACGGAACAGCUUGAAACGGAAUCGGAGCCCCAUAAUCGGGACCACAUUGAGUCAUCCUACCAAUUUAAGUCUCAUAUUGGCUAAGAGGCCCGUAAUGACUUGGAUUCGAUGUCUUAAAAUUAGAUCCAAUUGGCUCGUCGAACCAGGUUCACCCGUCAUCGAAUUGGUCCUUUUUUUUUCUACUGACUCCCGUUAUUGGAAUCGAACGGAGCAUUUCAGUAUGCCCUAGCUGACUAUAACAAGGUGACAGACCCUGGCCUCUCAGUAUUUGCACUGGAAUUGGUCGUUGCUUCCAAUAUUCGAAGUAACUGAACAUUAAUAAAAAUCCCCUUUCUUUAUAUUUUCACGGUAUACUCGUGUUAUAACACGACAUCUACCCCCUCUGAACCUGUGCAUCCUCCGGUAUGCACCAAUUUACCUAGUUACUCUUUGAUUUAAAAUAUAUUCUCUACCUCUUUGUCUAGUUCGUCUUCGUCGCCUUUAUUAUCCAAACCACUUUCAUCUUCUUGCUGCAAAAUCUCUAUACCUUCGUUAAGGUCUUCCAUAUUCAUCUCCACGUGUCUUCAUUUAAAUAUUUUUACUCGCUUCCCUACAAUUGGUAUUUUCAAUUUUGUACCAUCUAACUCCCGUAAUGAGUAAAUCGCAUUAUCAUGAACAGUUGUUACUACAUAUGGUCCAAACCGACGUUCUGAAAAUUUCCGCAAAGUACUAUAUUGAUUAUCCAGACUAUUGUCAUAAACAAGUACCUAGUCACCUUCCUUGAUUGCAUUAGGUCUCGAUCAAUGUUGCUUAUCGAAUCGUGCCAUAUUUUGUAAUCUUGUUCUUUUUAACCUUUCCAAUGCUAUCUGCACAUCUUCCGAUCUUUGCUCCAAUUGUCGAAUCCUAAUAGCCAAAAGUUCUUCUCUUGUCAAUCCAUCUUCCCAUGGUGGCAUACUCCAAGUAAGUACCUUUUCUUCAAUCGGCAUAAUUGGUUUUCGACCUGUCAUAAGUUCUACUGGCAUAUAUCCCGUCACUGAACUAUGUGUUGUUCGAUCAGUCCAUAAUGCAAAUGACAAAAGCCGUGGCUACUCUUUAACUUUCCCAUUACAAGCUUUAACUAAUGCUUUCACAAUCGGUGGGUGACCACGUUCACUUUUUGCAUUUCCUUCCAGAUUAUAAGUAGUAGUCAGUGAUAGUUUAACUCCACAUCUUUCAAAGAACUUAUGAGCUUCUUGUGCAUUUAAUUCUCCAAGAUUUGUAGUGAUUUUUCCUACGCAUCCGUAGCGGCAAAUGACAUCUUUAAGCAAAAACCUACAAAUUCCCUCUGUAGAUUUUGUCCUCAAUGCUCUUCCUUCUACUUGAUUUGAUAAAUCUUCACGAGCUAAAACCAAAUAUCUCAUCUGCCAUAAUCCAACUGGCAUACUAACCAAAUCAACAAUCCAUUUAAAAUGAAUAGCCAGAGGAUACGUAGGAUGAAGACCAUCUCGAUGUCGGAUAUUAGAAUACGAUUGACAAAUUUCACAUGACUCUACAAAUGAGAGUACAUCUCGAUACAUAUUUUUCCACCAAUAUCGUUCCUUGAGUUUAGCAAAAGUAGCCCAGAUUCCUCUAUGCCCUGCCCAUAAACUAUCAUGAAACUCUUUUAAUAAUUUUAGUUUUUCUUCCUUUUUGCCUAUCAUUCGUUGUGGGAUCCCAAUUCCUUUCUUCAGUCUCUUCUAUAAGAAUCCAUCUUGAAGCAAAAAUCCAUAUACUUUUUUUCUUAUUUAUUUGAAUUUUUCUGUAGACUAAUUUUCGUGCUUAGUCAAGGUAUUCAAGUAAUAACCAAUAUCUAAUAAUUCUCCUUCAUAAGAUUCUUCAAAGAAAUAGCUUGUCUUCUCUGUUGAGAUUUGAUAUUGAAUAGAAUUUCAAUUCGACGUCAUCAAUGUCUCCAACCAUUUCGUCCUCCCUCUCGUAUCUUACUAGAGAUAGCAUGUCUGCUACUAAAUUAUCCUUCCCUGUAACAUGCUUAAAUUCUGGAAUUAGUGACUUAAUAUAAGCAAUCCAUCUCAACAUUGUAAUAUCUGGCGUUAAACAGUUAAUAAUCAUUCCAAGCAAUGGCAAGCAAUCUGUUUCAAUUACUACUAUUGCCUCAAUCAAAUAGUCCUUUUCAGCUUUCAUAGCCGAAACAACUCCCCAAAGUUCUCUUUUAACUUGCGAAUAUGCACGUUGACAAAUACUUAAAACUUUAGCUCCAAAUCGAACUACGAAUCUAUUUCCACUUGAAUCAUCUUGACCCACAACCCAUGCAAAGGCAAUUGGACUAGUGACCACAGUAAGAAUCACUGGUCUAUUACACUUAUAAUCAACCUUCCUUAAUAUUGAAGGUGACAUCAAUAAUUUUUUCAAUCUUUGCAUUGCUUGAAUAUGCCUUUCUUCUUAUUUAAAUCGGUAGCCCCUGUGUAACAGUUUGUAUAAUGGAUUCGCUAUGUGAGCAUAAUGAGGGAUCCAGAUUCGAUAAAAUAUACAUGCACCUAAAAACCUGCAAACCUCUAUUAAAGAAUCACAAUCCUCUUUCAUCCUUCCAAUUGCAUCAACUUUAGUCGGAUCUGGUUUUCAUCCGUAAGAUCCACAUAAAUAUCCAACAAUCACAACCUCACAUACUCCAAAUACGGACUUCAUAUCUGAUAAUGUAAGAUGAACUUCUCCAAGCCGAGUUAAAAUCUUUUUAUAAUCUUGUAUAUGAUCAACAACAUAUUUGCGACACCCCCUCUUAUCUAGAGUUUCAUCCUUGUCUCCUUCUUUGUACCUUUUUAUAGAAACAUCAUCCAGAAAAGGCAUAGUCUUCUCCGGAAUAAAAUCUCUCAAUACCUUAUUCAUUCUAUUCAUCAUAUGCACAACUCAGUUGGUUGCACCUUGAAGAAGAGUGCACAUUCAAAUCAAUCCAAGUGGUGUCCCCAUCGUCGUUAUAUCUCUACUUCCUUCGGCAAGUUGAAAUUGAUCAUAACCUAAAUACAAGUCACCCAUUGAAUAGAUCGCCCUUCCUGCAAAUGCCUCAGUAAAUUCAUCCACAAUAGGUCCAAUUCCUGUGUUCCUGACAGUUAUUGCAUUCACCAAUUGCAUAUCUUGAAUAAACCGUAGUGACCCAUUCUUCUUAGGUACCGUAAACCAUCGACUAGAAUACAGCGCAAAUGAGGGUUCGAAUAUUUUUCAUCUUUAUCUUUUUUCUUAAUAGUUCCACCAAUUAAGGAAAAUGUGUCCUCGAUACUGGAAUCGGUCUUAGAUUCCAAGGUACAUGCAGUACAGUGAAGAUAACCAUAGGUGUUAUAAUAUUCGGAUCCACACACCCAAUUUCAUGAGAUUCGAAGGUAAACGAUCUACCUUGUUUAGCCAACAUCUUUUUGAAGCAAGUAAUUUCCUUCAGCAAUAAAGAACCAUCAAAACCAAUCUUCAAUUCUUCAAAAUUCUCUUUAGUAAACUAAUGUCCAAUACUCAUUGGAUCUCUUAAACUUGCUUCUUUUGAUGCUUCUCUCAUUUGUUCCUUAGAAUCUUCUGGUAAUUGUUUGGCAACAGGCUUUACCUUCUUAUCUGCCGUUUUAUAUCUUGUCUCUACAGUGACUUUUGGUGCUUGAAAAGAUUCAAGUAUGGUAUAAACCUCUCUUGAAUGAAUCUCAACAAUCUUAUCAUUAUCCCCUAAUCCACUAGAUGUAAUCAAUUCCAAUGAAUCUUCCAGUCCAUUUUUUUCAUAAAUACCUAAAAUCCUCUCCUCAUCUUACAAUGUACCUAAUUUGCGUAAUUCAAUAUUAUAUAAUCUUUUUCUUUCUUUUCUUUUAAAAUCAUCAACUUUCUUAUACAUAAUAUUUCCAUUCUCCAAUAUACCAAUAAAACUCGCAUCAAAGGCACCUUUAUCUUGCGAGAGUACCUCCUUUUUUGUACCUCCAUAAUCUCGCUUUAUAGUGGUACCUCCCCAAAAUCCUUAAAUCCUUCAACAAUCUUUGGCAAUGGUUUCUCCCUCAACCUAUCUCGAUUCCAUUCAUGGUUAGAAGAUACUGUUAGAAAUUGUACAGCUUUCUUUCCCAUCUUUGCUACGUACCCUGCAUAAGCAAAACCAUCGCCAAGUACUUUUGUUUCCAUCCGUGUUGCCGUAAUAUAAGGUUGUCUUAAAAUCAACGGAUAAGACGUUGUAUCUUGAACAAAAAAAUAUUACUCCAUUGCAACAUCCCCAAUCUGAAUUUUGACAUUUAGACAAGCUCCAUAUAAUUCGCCCCAUGUGUUAUUAGUUACUCGUAUUGCCCAUCCAUGUUCCAUAUCAAUUGGCUAUUUUUGCUUCUUAUAAAGAUCUUUAGACAUAAGAUUUAUUUCAGAACCAUGGUCGUCUAAAGCAACAAUUGGUUCUUCUAUAUCUCCUACUUUCACCAAUACCUCAGUAGUUGCCCUUGCCCAAUACUUUUGAGUAUAAUGGCUCUAAGUUUUCAUUUCCUUAUCACUAUAAUCUUCGAAACGUACUCGUUAAUUAUACCCAUUCUUUUCAUUUGUUGAUUGCUUGUAACCAAUAUCAACCUCUUCUUUAUCUUUAUAUAUUCUUGCAUCAAUAGCAUGACUCAUUCCAAUUUCACCCAUUAAUUGCCUCUUUUGCUUAAUGCUGUCAAUGAUAACAUCAUGAAACUCUUUCUUUCUAAUUUCCAAAACUCUUUCAAUGUGAAUUCCAUCUUAGCAUUUAAUAUACGUUCUUCCAACACUCUUUUCAAAUUUGUUGCCGCUUCAAUGUCAGAAAGUAGCUUAUAAGCAAUUGAUUUGCCCUUAUCUUUUGUCUAUCUUAUUUUUUCUUCUAAUGAUGCUGAGGUAUCCUUUACAGGCAAUUCUUGUGAAGCUGCCUCCCGAGCCUUGUCUCCUCGAAUUUGCCUCUUAGAAGAAUUUCCUUCUCUCAUAUCAUCAAAAUUUCCUCGUCUCUUUUCUUCCAUCAAAGCUUCAUGUUGGCUCUUAGCAAUAUAUGCAUGAACUAAAAGAGAUUUAACAGGAUCCUUCCAACCUAUUGCACCUCAUAUUGUAGCUGCAGUCCUCAAUAACGCUUCUCGAGAUAAUUUCCCUUCUUUCAUUGUAGAAAUGGCAGAAGCCCAAAAUUCAUUGGUUGCCAAGCUUCUUUUCGAUCAUUGCUUUGCUGUUGCUGCAUUGAUAAUGAGAAGGCUUGAAACAUACUAGUAAUAGACGGAUCCAUGUGCAUACCUUCUCCUUUAGAAGAACCCCCACUAGAAACUCUUCCCAAAGAUCCUUCAAAAUUUUUAUUUUCAUUUUCCAUAAAAAUAAAAAUAAAAUCAAACGAAAUCCAAUACCUUCCACCUCAAGCUUUCAUGUCGGAUUCACCACUUAUGUCGUAUUACAUGCUUUCCUGCUCGAGAACGCACCGGGCGUCUGGUUGUAGAAGGUAGUAUGGAGAUUUGCUAAUAUUCAAGCAGUCUAUCAGUUUUUGACUGUUGAAAUAUAAACAAUUACAAGAAUAUAUUGUAAAUCUAUACGGAUGUCCUUCGACUGCACGCCAAAGUCCUUUUCGCCCUAGCCGGUAGGUCUCUUGACAUUACAGAGAACCUUGAACAAUCCAAACUGUUAAUCUUUGAUACCGCUUUAUACUCACGAUCUUGUAUCCAUUGACUGUCUCAUUAGAUUAACCCAAUAAAUUUCAUUCACUCCGCACACUCAAUCCCACAGAUACCUUUUUAAUUCUUCAAUCAUAGACGUAACUUCGAUUUCACAAAACAUUCAAGAGUUAUCACAUCCACUUCAUUAAAAAUCCCGAUUCACAAAUACAAUACCGACUUUAGCAACGAUUGCCUUAGACUUCACAAAACCCUAUGAAGAAAAAAAACCUCAAUUUUUUAUCUUUUUUUCCCUCCCAAAGCAUGAAGCUAGCUCUCCGACCCUUCUAAAAAAAUCUUAUUCUCUCUCCCUUCAUUUCUUAAUCUAUCCUCUCUUUUAACCCUAAUUCUCUCCUUUUUCAAAUCCUAGCCUCUAAAUUUCUUCAAUCUUUCGUCUUGGAUCCGGAAUUGGCUCCCGCCGUCAGCGCUUUCUCUGACCAAUUCAGGUCUCAUAUUGGCUAAGAGGCCCGUAGUAAGAUUUGGAUUGGAUGUCUUGAAAUUGGAUCCAAUUGGCUCUUCGAACCAAGUUCACCUGUCAUUGAAUUGGUCCUUUUUCUUUCAGCUCAUUCUUGUUAUUGGAAUCGAACGGAGCAUUUCAGUAUGCCCCAACUGACUGUAACGGGGUGACUGACCCUGGCCUCUCAGUAUUUGCACUGGAAUUGGUCGUUGCUCCCAAUAUUCGAGGUAACUAAACAUUAAUAAAAGUCCUCUUUCUUUAUAUUUUCACGGUCUACUCGUGUUACAACACAACAACGAUUAAAAUCUUGAGAAUCAAGGAAAAGUAUAUAGGAGUUGUAGAGGUUAAUUAAGGUGCCAGACUGUGAUAGUCAUGAGCCGAGGGCCAUCAUUGUGAUAGUGUGAGCCGGGAUAAGCUUCGUGCUACCUCUUUUCUUUUGUUUGUUAUUUUCUUUGAAUAAGAAGAUUGAGAGUUUUUGAAUAUUGUGAAGUGAAUUAUGGAAUGGAAAUGUGAUUGGUAUUAUUUGAGAAGAAGAAAGAUUGAAUGCUGAAAUCUGAUUGUAGUUCAGUAGAUAGAAUGAGUCUGUGUUUAUGUGAAAUACUGUAAUGUGAAUGGCAGUUCUGUGUGAAGAAUUCCAGUGAUUGGAAUGAAGGUAAUUGUGUGCUGAAAGCUGUGAAGGUGCAAUAUUACAGUUGAAGAUUAUGAAGGUGAAUAUAUUGGUGGAAAUAGCAGUUAUUGGUAUGACUGCAUUGUUGUAAGAAAGAGACCGAUAAGGUGAAGGAGGAGAUUAUAGUUUCCUUGUGUAUUCAGAUAUUGAAAAUAGAGACGAUACAUUCAGGAGGUAAUUGAUUGUGUGACCCUAAUGUGAACGCUUAAGCAACUAGUCAUUUUCUGUAUUCGAAUCCCCCUAUACAGGUUUAUUCUUGGAGUUUUUUUUCGAAAUAAGUAAAAUAAGCAAUCACAAGGUGUCUCAGUACAAAGAUUUAAUUAUGGAAUUUAGAAAUGUCUUUACAUGGUCUUAUUUAGAUCUAAGAGGGAUUCUAGCACACAUUGUGCAACAUCACAUUCCUUUAUUUCCUAAUACUAUUUCCAUUAGACAAAAAGAACGCAUGAUGAAUCCAAAAUUGUAACAUAUAGUAAAAGUAGAAUUGGAGCGACUUUUCAAGUUGGAUUCAUUAAACCAGUAGAAAUCACAGGUUGGAUGUCUCCAAUGGUAUUGAUAAAGAAGAAAAAUGAAAAAUUCCAUAUAUGCAUUGAUUAUAGAGCCUUGAACAAGUAUACUUGUAAAGAUCACUUCCCUCUUCCAUUCAUGAAUACCAUUCUAGAUGAAGUGGCUAGACACGAGCUCUAUACUUUUAUGGAUGGUUACUCAAGCUAUAAUCAAAUUUCAAUAGCACCAAAAGACUAGCAUAAAAUAGCCUUUAUCACACUAUGAGGAACAUUCAUUUAUGUAGUCGUGCCUUUUAGUCUUUGCAAUGCACCAUCUGCAUUUCAACGAGCAAUGACAUAUGCAUUCUCGGACCUCUUAUACAAGUCAAUGAUGGUUUUUAUUGAUGACUUUAGUAUUCAAUUUAAGGCUAUAGACAACUUAAGUUGGGUAAAAGAGGCAUUAACUUGAUGUCAUCAAAUUGAUAUAGCCAUUAAUCUUGAAAAAUUUUAUUUGGUAGUACGACAAGAUGCAUUGCUUGGUUAUAUUGUAUCUCAAGCAAGGAAAGAACCAAACACUGAGAAGGUUAAAGUGAUAGUAAAAUUACAUCCACCAAAAGAUGUGAAUGGAGUACGGAAGGUUUAAGGUCAUAUAGGUUGAUAAAGAGAUACCAUGAACGACUAUGCAACUUCAAUAGCCUCCAUCACUAACCUAAUGAAGAAGGGGACUAAAUUCUAAUAGAGAGAGGAGUGUCAAAGAGGAUUUGAUGAGUUGAAGGAUAAACUCACUAGUUUUUCAGUUCUAAGACCUUCAGAUUGGUCCAAACCAUUUCAUAUAUACUAUGAUACUUGAGUAGUAGCAUUAGGAAGCGCAUUAUGUCAACCAACUAAUGGAAGCAAGGUAUACUAUCCUAUAGCAUUUGCCAGUAGGUAAUUAUCAGCAGCAGAGAGAAAUUACACUACUACAGAACGAGAAUGUUUGACAAUGGUAUUUUCGACAAAGAAAUUUCGACAUUACUUGUUAAUGAAUCGUGUAGUCUUUUUUGUAGACCACAUGGCUAUCAAAUAUUUGGUGAAUAAGCCAGACUUAAAUGCAAGACUUACAUGAUGGGUACUACUGCUGGCAGAGUUAGAUUAUACAGUUCAUUACAAGCCAGGAAAGAUGCAUCUCCAAGUAGAUCAUUUGUCAAGAAUUUCUAAUAAAUUGAGAAUGAAGGAUGUAGAUGAUGAGUUUUCAGAUAGUAAAUUAUUCAUGAUAAAGGCCAUUCCUACAUGAUACAACCACUUGAGAAAAUUUUUAUCAUCUCAAACUUAUCCUAAAAGAUUAGACAAAGAAGAGAGGCGAAAGAUUAGGGUGAACAGUACACAUUUCAUCUUAUUAGGUGGAAAGCUCUACAGGAGGGGCAUUGAUGGAAUUCUAAGAAGAUGCAUGAUAUAUGAAGAAGUUCCUAUUAUCCUAGAAGCUUGCCAUGAUAGUGCUUGUGGUGGUCAUUUUUCAGGAAGACUCACCUCACAAAAAAUCUUAAGAGCAGGGUAUUUCUAGUCCAUUCUCUUUACAGAUGCAGAGGCCCACGCUCGAUGUUGUGAUACAUGCCAUGGAUAUACACAUAAUGGUCUACACAUGCAAUUGCCUUUGCAUCCACUACUGCCAUUAGCACCUUUAGAACAAUGAAGAAUUGACUAUGUUGGACCUAUAGUAUCCACUUCUUCAAAGAGAAACCAAUUUAUUAUAGUGGCCAUAGAAUACUUGACCAAAUGGGCUGAAGCCAAGGGAGUGAAGUGUUUAGAUAGUAAACAAACUAUAAUUUUUUUAUAUGAAAAUAUCAUUGCAAGAUUUGGAAGCCCAAAAAUCUUAAUAAGUGAUAGAGGAACUCAUUUCCUCAAUGAGAAUGUCAAAGAAAUCACAUCUAUCUUUACGAUCUAACAUCGAAAAACUAUACCUUAUCACCCUCAAAUUAGUGGAAGAGCAAAAUGAAUGAAUCAAACGUUAGUAAGGAUUUUACACAAAACUGUAGUAGACAACAAGAAGGAUUGGGAUGUGAAGCUCACAGCAGCUCUUUAAGCAUAUAGAUUCACAUAUAAGGUAACUACAAGUACUACACCAUUUGCAUUGAUGUAUGGAAUAGAAGCCAUUUUACUCAUUGAGCUUGAAAUACCUUCAUUACGGAUUGCAAACCAGGAAAGGUUGGACUGGUCGAGAUCAGUGAAAGAUAAGAUGGAACAAUUAAAAGCUUUGCAUGAGUUUAGAAAAAUGGCAAUCCAAAAUAUUGAGGCCAUUCAAUGCCAAAGAAAGGUAACUUUUGAUAAAAGGAUUAAAAAGAGGGCAUUGGAGCUUGGUAUGUGAGUCAUACUUCAAGAUGCACAAAAAAUGGAAUUCUCAAGAAAAUUUGAUGCUAUAUGGAUUGGCCCUUAUAUUGUGGUGGAUGUCUCCACCAACAACUCUAUACAAUUGAAGACCUUAGAUGGCUCAUUAUUUCCUACACGAACAAUAGGAGAACGUUGUAAAGAAUACAAAGUGUGACGAUAGGAACAAAAUUCUUUUAUAGAUUAUAUUUUUUUAAUAUCAAAUAGUAUGUUGGAGAGCAAAAUAGAAGCUAUAAAAGAUCAAUAUUAAUCAACCCUCAAAGACGGUUGAUUGGGGAUUUAUUAGCAACCACAAAGGUGAAAUACUAGCUAAGUGCCUCUUUUUAUAAUAUUCUUAUUAUAUCUCAAAUUUUUCUUCUUCUCUUAUUCUUUUUUUAUUUCUUUAUAGUUCCAAGAGAGGACGUUAAUAUUAUGAAGUUAAGCAAGAUAGUAUGAUUUAUAGGGCAUUCACAUAUUUAUUAAAAAUACAUAAAAUUAAAAUAUAAUAUGAAUAUUCUUCCAUGUGUUAGGCCCAAGAUAUAGUGUAGACGGCAUUGAGUGAGUAAUUUUCAUCUUUUGCUCUUAUUAUUCGAUCUUAUUUCACUUUCUUAACUUGUAUUAGAUGAUUUACAUAGAUUAGGUCCAAAUUGCUAAGAAAAAGACAUUGCUUCUCAUGUAGUAAUUAACAACUUCUUAUUUUAUUAUUCUUCUUCCGUUUUCACUUCUUUUUUUUUAAUCCAAAUCCACUUUGAUGGAGGAGGGAGGCCAAUUGAAUUAAUUUAUUAUUUAUAGGUUAGAAUUUGCUCUAAGAAGGGAGGAUAUGGUUAUUUUUAUUUUCAACUUUUUAACUUCUAAUUAUUUUUCUAUAGUACUCCAAAUUGACAUUAUUUGAGGAAGAAGGAUGAGUUCCAAUAUUUUAAUUUAUAAUAUUAAUAAAUGGAUAUUAGAGUUGAGAGGAUUUGAUAUCGGAUUUUAUAUUAUGAUUUUAUUAUUUUUAAGAAUCUUAUUCUUUGAAUUUCAAUUGACCAUGUGCCCUUGGAAAAGACACUACCUUCACUUGUAAGAGACUCAAGGGUCCAUUCUAUUUGCAUGGCAAAUAGCCCACAGAUGGUGCACCACAUGUUAGCUCUCAAUUAUACUCUAAAAUUUAAAUUUUUGUUAUUUUCCUAUUUUAUAAUAAUUAAACAUGUUAGAUUAGGAUUUAUAUAAGUAGAAUUCAAUUUUAUAGAAUUUUUAGGAUUACAAUCCCUCAUGAUGUAAAUCAUAGCCUAAUUUUUUGAAUUAGAUUAAUUAGGACUAAAGUGACAAGAGUUAGAAAAUUAGAAUAGCAACUUAGUUAGUUUAAUAAUUUAAAGGUUGUUGGUCAUUACUAUAAGGGUUGACUAAAAGCCAAUGAGUUCGUCUAUAAUAAUUCACAUGAUUUAGGGGUUGGAAUUAUAAUUCUCUAAAAGAUUUAGGAAAGUUAGCAAUGGUAAUUUUGGAUUUUUCCUCCAAAUUCGGCAAAUUUAAGCGGCAUGGUGGUUCUUCUACUUAAUGGGAGUCUCUUUAAUGCAAUGGUGGCACCGGAUUUACUUCGUGGAGUGAAGAAAACAAGGUCAGCAACCUCUCCUUCUAAAUACAAGAGAAGCAAUGAAAUUCUCAUUUUGAAGAAUUUCACAAAAAAAUUGCCAAGAUCCUUAUAAGUAAAAACUUCCAUGGAAAUUAUAAUUGAGCAUGGAUUGGGGCAUAAGAGUAGUCGAUCUUAGCUUAAAAAGGUGUUUUGAACACAAUAGUGAAGUUAGAUUUGCAAAAAAAAUGCCUUCUUAACUACUUACAAGGGCUAUCAGCCUUGGUAACGAGAUUUGGUCUUGGAUGAAUGAAGGCCAUAGAUCUAGAUUAGGAAUCUGAAAAAUCAAGGGUGGAGAUGUAGCCACCCUUCUACGAGCCUCCACUCAAUUGUAUAAGAGAGGCUUGGUUUUCCAAGCCCUCUCUCUCUUCUCUUUUGGUGAAGGAUGAAGCCAUGCUAAAAUUUGGCCAAAAAUCCUAAUUUUAAUUUCAUUUAGAUUUUAAAUCUCAUUAUGAAUUUUAUGGGUGGAUGUGGAUGGAUUUCGAGUUGCGAAUGAUAGUCAUUGGGUCUUAAAACACGUUUCAUUGUGGUGAAUAGCUCCUUUGGCCUCUCAAUUACUCCAAGGAUUUCAAGAGCCUCAGAUUUCCCUCCAUCAGUCAUUCAAUUAUUUUAGUUCUAAUGUGAUUUUUUUUGUGGUUUUAGCUUUUGUUGUUAGCUUUCUGACAAAGAAGUCUCGCUCCAUUCAGAGUUGAAUUAAAUUUUUGGUGAAAUUUUGAGUGUGAGGGGGUUGACAACCUUCGCAGUUUGGAUUAAUCGAGUUUAGGAAGACAUUUAUCAGUGCUUGAUUGCUGGAUUCAUUUGAAAUUUCGGAAGCAUCAAGAUUUAUAAGCUAAGCUUUGAAGGGCAUAAGUUUCGCUGGAUUUGAAGAUAAUUUGAAUUUUUAGCAAAUUUCUAAGUGAAGGGGGUUGGUCGCCGCGGUAGUUUGGAUCACUCAACUUCAAAGGAGCAAUUUUCACGACUGGAUCUAUAGAUUGCAAUGAGAUUUGUUGCAGCAAGGGUGUUGUAUUAUAACUUAUUCUAUUUUUAUUUUUAUUUACUUAUUUUAACACUCUUACUUUUCUAUUGGUCAAAGGCUUUCAAUCCUAAUUCUUUUAUUAACAUGCAAUGCCUAUCCUUUACUAAUGUCUUUGUCAACAAAUCAACAAGUAUGUCUUUUGUUGCAUAAUACUUUAUAUUAAUCACUCUCAUUUCAAUCUUCUCACUUAUGAAGUAAUGUUAAAUGACAAUGUACUUGGUCUUUGAUGAUGCUUUGGAUUCUUUGUAAGCGCAAAACAUCCUUGAUUGUCACAUUCUAUUGUUGUUUCUAUUUGUACUACUCCAAUGCCCUCCAAAAGUUGUCUAAGCCAUAUUAUCUCCAUUGUAUCAUAAUUUACUACUAUGUAUUCUACCUCCAUUAUUGAUCUUGCAAUUGUUGCUUGUUUCUUGCAAUUUCAUAAAACUGCUUUCAUUCCAAGAAAGAAAACAUACCUCGUUAUUGACCUUCUAUCAUUUGCAACUCUAAUCCAAUCCGCAUUACAAUAACUAUGCAAAGUAAUGUUAUUACUUUCAAGAUAUAAUUUAAAAUAUAAAGAACCUUUUAAGUAUUUCAUAAUCUUUUUAAUGGUUGCCAAAGGGAUUGCUCUAGCCUUUGAUAUGUAUUGGCUCAUAAUACUCACUACAUAUGCAAGAUCCACCCUUGUGCCAACCAUUGCAUACAUAAGUGAGUCUACUGCUAUCUAAUAUGGAAUAUCUAGCAUUUGACCUUCAACUUUAGCAAAUUCUUCAUCUAUGAGCUUCAUCAACAUCAAAUUGGCCUCCAAAGGUUUAUAUGUAGGCUUACAUUUCUUCAUGUUAAAUCGUUUCAACACAUCUUCAAUGUACUUGCUUUGGAUUAUUAUUAUCAUCUUUUUAGCAUAAUCUUUCACAAAUUCCAUUCCUAAACAAUAGUGAAGCUCUUUCAAAUCAAUCAUCUUAUACUUCUUUUUUAACUUUAUUUUCAACAAAUCUAUUAUCUUUAAGAUAUUGGUUAAGAUGAUUAAAUCAUCAACAUAAAAGUUAAAAAUUAAUAUAAAUUCAUUAGAUUGUACUGCUUCAAUAUUACAACCAUAUGAUCCCAAUCUUUCAUGUAUACUUGACAUUGAUGCUUCCGACUUUGCUAUUGGCACAGUUCUUCAAUAAGACUUUGGUAUGAGCCUUCAACAUGUGGCAUAUGAAUUGUGCAAGGUCAAAAAGAUAGAAAACAAUUUAUUUAGAGGUUUAACUAUUUUUAUUAUAGUAUUUAUAUUAUGUAAGAUUUAUAUAUUUAGUAUAAAGCUUAAGAAAAGGUUGGAGUCUAAAGAUGAAAGUCUAAACUAUAAGGAGGCUUAUUGGAAAGGAUGAAAGCAAAGUAUGGUUAAAUGAAGGCAAAGAAAAAAGAUUUUCAUCCCUAUUAGUUGAAUGUCAUGGCCAAUGGACUUUAAGGAGGCUACUCAAGUCCUUAUUAGGGAUAAUGAUUUCUCUUCCAAGGUCAUUUGAACUUUGGAGGUUAGGAUCAGCAAGUUUAGGUUUUUGGAUAUGGAUUGGAUGCAAAUUUUGUGUGAUUUGGAGUUUUUAUGAAGGAGUUAUAGGUGUUCAAAACUAAAGUGUCAAUUUUGUACCUAUUGUCAUUCUUUGAAGCAAAACAUAUGCUUACAAAGAACAACGAAGGGCAGCGAUUAGGAUUAGAGAGAGCACUUUCUAAGCUAUACUGUUCAUAUACUGUUUGAUAAAUUCUAAGUCUAGAUGAAGGAAUUAUAAGACAUUGAAGAUAUCUUAUGUAAUUCAAAGAAAGUAAGUUAUUUUGUUGUUAGUAAUGAUUGGAGUUGUAUCAUGAGUUUCCUAAUCCCCCGCUUUUUCCAUCAUGGAACCCCCCCCCUCCCCCCACCUCUGAUGGUACUCCUCUCGUAGUCCAUGGAGCUCGUGUUGUCCGCAACUCCGAUGAUCUACACGGAGCUUACUCCGUGUACACUACUUCGAACCUUGACUGCUCGCGACAGCAUCGUGUUCACCGCCGACGGGGUUUUCAAAGUGGAUGUCCAACUUUGCCCUCUUUGAGAAGAGCUCUAAAUCCUACUUCUGAUCUCUUUAUUUGCUACACCAUUUAAAGCUUCAUUACGAGUAUUGCGGGUUGUGUUAAAAAAUUGCUGAAAUUGCUAACAUUUUUGCCUAGAAUGGUAUGGCAUUGCUAGAAGAUGCCAGGUGGUUGUACCAAGUGUGUUCACACUUUGAAUCUUAACAGGUAAUACUGUAACCUUGUCCAUAGGGAAACAGAAAAUGUGUACUCUUCUCAUAUAUAUAUGUAGAUACAUACAAACAUGUAUGUAUGUAUGUAUGUAUGUAUGUGUGUGUGUGUGAAUUGUAUGACAAACAAAUUAAACAUGUUUUCUUUAUAUGUUUUUUAAAAUGACAAUUUGCUAAAAAGCCAUUUCGUUGUUAAGGAUUUAGAGUGUGGAGCUUGAUGAUAUUUGUUUUCAAAUUGAUUUGAUGUGAUAUAGAAUGGACUCUUGAAAUAGUUAUAUAAAGAGAAACAUUUUAAGUAUAUCUGGAUUUUUACUCAAGCAAUACCAUUUUUAAACUGUUUUCCUUUUCAAAGUAGCUUAUGUAGUAAGAUUUGUUCACUUUAGAAAACAUAAAAUUAGGCGAUAACAAUGUAAAUGCACAUAGUCAAAAGAAUCGAAAUUGAACAAGAAAAAUUGUAUUAAAUUACAAGUAUCUGUAGAUGAAUCCCAUUUAAUUCGAAUUAUAUAAUGAUUUGAGUAUCAAUUACUAGAAUUUUAAGAUACAUAAAAUAUUCAAAAUAAAAUCAUCAAUAAAAAUGCCCACAACAAAAUAAACUAAUGAAUGAAUAAAAAAUCCUACCCUAAAAUUAUCAAAGGUGAACACAAAUACUAUAAAAUGAAAAAAAAAUAUAUCUAUUUACAUGUCACCCAGAGAGCUGUGUUUGAGGCGACACCCGCCCCUGAGCCCAGGCACGAGCGGGCGCCGCCUGAAAUACAGCUCCCCGAAGACGCUGUGCAAAACUGAUCUGCUUCGCAAAACUGUGAGAAGGCACUGGAACGUGCUCCGCGCCUACUACCGCUGUACACUCGUGUCUAUCUCCUCCACCACCUUCGGCCUUUUGUAGCGUUUCAGCCACAGCGACGAACAUACUACCGACACCGAUGACGCCGCCAUGGCUGCACCCGCCACCCACGGAGGCAACCGGAACCCCGUGCUUGGGAACAGCGCCCCCGCAGCUAUGGGGAUGCCCAGCACAUUGUACCCCAACGCCCACACGUAGUUCAGCCAGAUCCUGAAGAACGACUUCCGUGACAAGUCUAUCCCUGUGAUCACGUCCUCCAGGUUGCUCUUCAUCAGCACGAUGUCCGCCGCCUCGAUCGCGAUGUCCGUCCCCGCUCCUAUCGCCAUCCCCACGUCCGCUGCGACCAACGCUGGCGAAUCGUUGAUGCCGUCCCCCACCAUGGCCACCGACGUCCCUGCCGCCUGCAUCCCACAAACCUCAGCGUCAGCAUGCUUGUUCACCAAGCGUCCUCAUCACUCGCCUCUGCUUCCCCCAUUACGCAAUCCAAUCCCACCCCGGCGCUCGCGUUCCCUCCCCAGGUCAAACUCCCCCCGCAGCCCCCACGCAUGCUCGUGCACCAGGCAAACCACGAACCUGCAUUUCUUCCACGAUCCUGGCCUUGUCUUCUGGCAACGACUCUGCGUGCACGCAUGGCCUCUCGAUUCCCAACUCCCUCGCAAUCGCCACGGCUGUGCCCCAGUUGUCCCCCGUGACCAUCAUGCUGCGCACGCCCAUUGACUUGAGGAUGCUGAUUACUCUGGCUGCUUCCGGCUUCACUGGAUCCGCGAUGGACACCACCCCCACCAACUCCCUCUCGAUGGCAACCAUCACUCCCGUCCUGGCCAAAGUCUCCACAUCGCGCAAGUGCUCCUCCGCUUCUUCCGAUAUGUGGAUCCCGUGCUCCUUCAUCAGUCGCAUGUUCCCCACCAGGGUCGCCUUGCCGUCCACCACGGCGCGCACUCCCUGCCCUGGAAUGGCCUCGAAAUCACGCACCUCGUGUUGCUGCUGACCAUGGGACGAAUGCUCGCCGCUGAUCUUCCUGGAGUACGCGACGAUCGCUUUUCCCAGUGGGUGCUCGCUGUUGACCUCCGCUGCUGCGAUUGUGUCGUAGAACACGUGCAGAGGAAUGUUCGUGAGCAGCUUGGUGUGAACGACGAUGGGCUUCCCGAUUGUCAGCGUCCCGGUCUUGUCGAAAACCACCGUCUUCACCUUGUGUGCAGCCUCCAGUGCCUGACCCCCUUUGAUCAGGAUCCCCUGCGUCGCGCCCUUCCCUGUGGCAACCAUUAUUGCGGUGGGUGUGGCCAGGCCGAGGGCGCAGGGGCACGCGAUGACGAGCACUGAUAUCCCGAACUGAAGUGCCAGCUCGAACUCGUCCAUCGCAGCCGGAAUCCAUGACUUUGGGUACGAGCGUGCUUUGCCUCCAACGUACCAAGCCAGCCACGUGACGAACGCCGCGACCACCACGGCGGGGACGAAGUAAGUGGAGAUGCGAUCCGCAUACUUCUGGACCGGGGCUUUGCCCAUUUGGGCGGCUUCCACCAGCCGCACAAUUUGUGCCAAUGCGGUCUCCGCCCCUACGUGUGUGGCUCGUAUGUGUAUCACGCCGUGGUCGUUCAUGGUGCCUCCUAUCACCUUGUCCCCUAAUUUCUUCGGUACGGGGCGGGCUUCGCCUGUUAUCAUGCUCUCGUUCACGAAGGAUUGUCCCCACACCACCACACCGUCCGUGGGCACUUUCGAGCCCGGUACCACCUGCGCAAGCCAAAACGACUUUUCAUUGCAAGAACGGGCACAACUACAAUCAUGGCUGCCACGCUACCCACUAGGACCGCUUCACGGGAACGACACGCACCGCAACUCUCUAGCACAAGCUUCUACAAUGGCCCACAUACAAACCCGACUCUGUUUCCAACCGUCCGACUCUCCGAAUCGGUAUGGACAGCCGCAUCCAACAACCCCCAGCGAAAGCCCAAGCCUGAAACGUAGCACCUACAACACCAGCGCGUAGGCCUACCUUGAUGAUGUCUCGCCGCUGGAUGAGCUCGGCCCCGAUUUCCCUCUCUCCUGCCACGUCCCCCUCCUCGUCCAGAGUGAGCAGAGUCGCCUUGUCCGGAGCGAGGUCCAUCAGCUUGGCAACGGCUUCCGAGGUCUUCCCCUUGGCCAUUACUUCCAAAUACUUUCCCAGGAUGAUAAACGAAAUGAGCAUCGCGCUCGUUUCAAAAAAAUCCGUGCCCUUGAACGUAGGAGACGUAGCCGCCCGCAACACUAUGUACACAGAAUAAAAGUACGCUGCGUUCGUGCCCAUGGCAAUUAGCACGUCCAUGUUCGACGACCCUCGCCGGAGCGCCUUGUACGCUCCCACGUAGAACCUUCUCCCGAUAACGAACUGCACCGGAGUCGCAAGAAUCCACCGCAGCAAAGCUCCGAUCGACAAGCCGUUCAGCCUGCCGUGCUCCAGACCCUCCAUAAUGCCUGGUAUGUACAUAAACACCAUGGACAAAAAGAACACUGGGACCGUGAACACCAAGCUCCAAAGGAAGUACUUCUUGUGGUGCUGGAUCUCCAAGCCCCUGUCGUGACUCCCACGACCACGAGGUGCCUCCAACUUCGCUGUGAAAACUCCCGCCUGCUCGAUGGUCUCUAUGAAAGUCCUCGGCCCAGCCCUGUCGGGCUCGUACGAUACUGUGACCAUCGCAUUGCUGAAAUCCAAAUCCACCGAUGUCACGCCGGACAGAGCCACCAGCAUCUCUUUCACGAGCUGGAAGUCCGCUGCAGCCGUCACGCCUUCCAGCUGCAGACGGAUUCUGUUCGUCUCUUCACCUGCGAUCAGAAGCUCGGCCUCGUAACCCAGGUCAUCUAUGGCGGCGGCAAGCUGGACGUGAGAAAUCACUCCAGCAUCGUGCCUCACCUCGCACUCCUCCGUGGCGAGGGCUACUACGGCCUUUUGCACUCCAUCCAGCUUUUUCAGCGAAGACUCUAUGGAGUUUGAGCAAGAGGUGCACGUCAUGCCCUUGAUACGAAAACGGCUGAUGCUCCCGCUCCGUUGACCGGCAUCGUCCACAAUUGCUUCCGCCUCGAACCCCGCGUCCUCGAUCGCCUCCCGAAUGCUUUCCUCCUGGAUUCCACUUUCCCCGUGUAAGAUUCAAUGCCUUCCAAUUCCACCGCUGCCCACAUCCAUCUUACUUCUGAGCUCCUAGCUGCCACGGUCCAUCUGGCGGAUUGCUAAAUUGACCCUCUCACCACAUGCAAAGUUUUGGAGCACCCCUCACUGCACACCUUUCAAGUCGUUUCCUACAACAUUGCUACAAGCAUCUUCUUGCCGUCCGCAUUGCACCGCGUGCUGCGCGAACGAUCCCCGCUUCACCGGUCCCGACGGAAUUCUGAACAACACGGAGUGGGAGGAAUUGUACCUGUACGAAGGCGGGCCUGUACACAACUUGAGCCCGGUUCUGCAAUACUGACACCGUUGCUUCCUCGAUGCCGGGCAACCUCUUCACGGCUUUCUCGAUGGACCCCGCACACGCUGCGCACUCCAUCCCUGUAACCUGUACACCCAAUCAACACAUACAUAUGAAAUGACGACCCCGUGGAAUCAAUUGCCAAACCACACAUGUCCCAUUUGAACCAGCCCCACGCACGUUCUACCACUGGAUCAGAAAGUCGAGCGGCGCCGCUAAACGUUGCUAGCACGAUCCGCUUUCGGCCCCUGGGGUUCUCCUAUGCAACAGACCUUUGAGGAAUUCUGCUCCCAUUCAUCGCUCUCAUGUUCAAGUGCUCAUCACUGCUUUUCUCGCGAAAUCCCCGACUUAUUCCAGCGCCAAGCACUUUCACCACGACCGUUCCUACUGGAAUUUAACAGGGACUCACAACAGAGAUCUCCCCUCCUCCCAGGCCGGGCGAUAACCUGCCCAGAUAUGGCGUAAACAAGAAGGCAAGAAAAUCACUCCAAAACAACUCCACAACCACGCCACUCCGGCGUUUCAAUGCCGCUGCUAAACCCGCACUUUGUGAGGGUUGCAUUACAGACCUUCAAGUUUGCUUUGCGAAUCUCCGAGACGUCAACUUCGCCAUGCAAGGGCGACAGCGGGUACCGCGGCAUUGACGGAUACCGAGUUGAAGACGACAAACUGCGCUCCAGCAAAACAUCCUCCUUCUUCUUCUUUCUCCUCUCGCUCUCCGUCGCCGACCCCGUUCGAGGUGCAAGCACAACUUUCAUCAGCGACUGCAUCGCUCCACAACCACCUCAAUCCAGCUCUCACGCUCUUCAACUCUCUUCUGCUCCCUCUCUCUCUCCCUCUUUUACGAGCCUCUCAAGAAAUCCUCUACAACCUCUUCUACCUGCAAUCACGACCGUCCCCGCUCCGAAGCUUACCGCAAUUCUCACGCCUGCGCUCUCAAUUCCCGCCCACGCUAAUCCCAACGACACAAGGUCCUAUUCAAACAAGCGGCUGAUGCGACACCAGGUCCUCCCCACGUCACGUUCCCCGUCAUGCAACUCAGACAGCAGCGCGAAUAGGCGCAACACGAACCGUAUCCAAUUUCAAUCCCUACGCUGACUCUACUCCACCACUCUCUCCCACCCCUCCUAAUAUACCUCACGAAAUCGCUGCGCCGUCACCACGGAACGAAUUCCUUGUGUCGCACUUUCAUGGUGGAUCCCAGGAUCUCGAAUAAGUUCUCGAGGUCUCGAGAGCUGCAGGACCCUUGCGUUGUUCAUGAAGGUGGGCCCCACUGUCAAUGCCGUGCUCGGCAGGCUUGUCUAUUAACAGCUGUCCAAUGAAACAAAGCGAACGAUCCCCCAACACCCAAGCAAAAUAUACUCGACCAGAAGCUUCAUGCCCAGUUUCGACCCCAACCCACUCACGGCAUCAGGGCAUGUCCAGAUAGACGUCGGAGGGGUCGGGACAGGAGGCCGCGAAAGCAUCGCAGACGGCUCACGUUCACUGAUGUCUCGCGGAUGUCGCCAUUCACGAUUUCCAAUGGUUCAUGAACACACUCAUCUACUGCAGUGCCGCAUUGCGAUGCCGUUGCGAACACAGUUGCGAACGCAGAUGCGGAGCAACCCGAUGACGAACACUUCUGUCCGGGUAUCUGCGUCUUGCGGACGAAUCCUGGUCGUUGUCAAGGAGUAGCUCCACCGCUUGGCCUUCAAUCUCCUCAGCAGUGCUCAAUUUCAGUGUUGCUGUCACACCGACAUCUCUGUGUUGUAUCCAUUGAGCGCAUGCACGCCGGCUGAUGGUGAUGGGGCUCCUUUGCUGUGCGUAAGGUAGACAACCCAUUUCAGAUAACUUAAGCAUUUCAGCAUAUAUGCAGUAGGUGCAUAAAUGGAAAAAAAAAAAACCAAAACAAAACAAAACAAAAAAAAAAAAAACGGGAAAGAUCCGGCAAGCUCCUCCUCACUGGCGCUUGGAUUACUGCGAGGAUGUGUAAUACCACAUAUCUGGCCUGCGAGCGAUUGCGAGGUCCAAUGCUCAAUACCCUGGCACAUUGUGUUAGGAUUUGAUAAAUUUAUAUACAAUAAUUUAAGCAAGUAAGAUAUCAAUUGAGGAUAGGACUUUUUUAGGAUUAGGGUUUUAGUUGAGCCUAGCAAUGGAGGUUGCACUAAAGUGAGUCAUAGUGCCUAUAGUACCAUUUGUAGUGGGAUUGUAAUAGUGUGAGGAGACAACAUGACGAUAACCACGACCUAUGCUGUGAUACUAAAAAGCAAGUUGACACAUGCAUCCCUGUCUCUUACAACAUUGAAGGUGUAGUACAAGAAGAAUAGAUCUAAGAAAGAAUAAUUGGAAUUUGAAUUGGUUGCUACUAUUGCACAAAUGGAGCGGCUCAUAGAUAUCCAUCCCAUGCGAGCAUCACCAACUAAGAUCCUUUCUAAAAGAUUUUUUUGUAGCAAAAAAGAUUUCAUACUAACAAAAUGUGUUGUUUGGGUGAUAUUAAACGAGGCCAAAGUACCAAAAGAAAUGGAUUAUUUUUAAAAGAAAGUCAUAAUAGCAUAUAUUGUGGAAGACAAUCAAUUACCAAAAAUCAUAUAAGACUAUGUGACAAGUAUCUCAAAAGAACUUGGAAAAGAAUUGAAUUUAAGUCGCAAAUUAGAUCAUGGCUUCUUCUAGGUCAUAGGAAAGGAUGUGUCAAGGACAUGAAUCUCAAAGAAAGAAAACUCAAUACACUCUUGUAUCACUCAAAAAGAUUAAAAAAUCACUCAAAGAUAGUAAUAUAUUGAACUAGAAUGGCUAUUGCUAAAGACAAGAAUAUUAGAAAGUCUUAAAACAAGACUAAGGACUAUAAAAGCAAUGCCAACAAUGAAGAAGGCUUUACUCUUGCUUCUAUAUUUACUAUCUAACAAGGAGCUAUAUGACAAUGUUCUAUAGGAUCUCCAAUACGUGUUCAUUUUAUAAAGCAUAUGUUUUAAUUUGCAAGACAAGUUUCUUAUAUAUGCACCAUAUUGUUGCCAUAUUGUAACACAACUAUAUGGUAAAAAUAUAAUCAAAAAUAAAAUUUUAAUUAAUAUUUAAUCAUCUUAGUUCAAUAGUAAUUCAAGACAUUUAAGCAUGGCUUUUAUAAAAAUCUCUUAGUUUAUUUUCUUAUCUUAAUAGCUAGUAGAUUCAAGGUUGGUUAAUAAUUUUACCUUCUAAACUAUUAAAUUUCUUUUAUUGGCUUAGAAAGGCCAUAAAUUGAUAAAAAAAAAAAUAGUAAAAAAAGAUAAAUAAUUAAUAUAAUUGAUACUAGACUUAAGUUGAAGAUAAGAUCAAACUAAAAAAUCCCUAGGAUAGAUUGGAUUGAUAUCCGAGGAUUAACCAUUUGUGGAACAUACUUGAAAUCAAACCUCCAGUCACUAAAAUGGCUGCCUAGAGCAAAAUAGGGAUUCAUUUGAAGAUCGGCAAUUGGAGUUUGUAAGCUAGCUUCAAGCUUAUUCCAAAGUUCUAAGUCUUGUUUUCUUAGGAUUUGGAAUGAAUUUUUAAUUGUUGUUCAAAAUCAAGAUUUGUAUCAAUAAUUUGGAAUUUAUGCAAUAUAAUCAGGGCUAGCACUCUUCACUACUUCAUGCAAUUGGUGUCACUGCUCAACAUUGUCCAAAGAAGCGAUGCAAUUACAAAAUGAGGAAUACUACCAUCAAAGAAAAUAGUAUGUCAAAAAAUAAGUUUGUCUAGCUACAAUAGGGACAGUGUAGCUAGAACCUUAUACAAUAUCUAAUGAAGGUCUUAUUCUCUCCUCAGAACCUUCUCUUUAUUUUACAAUAAAUGUUAUUUUAGGACCUUAACAUCACAAAGCCUCUACCUUAUUAGAUUCAAGAGCCUCAGCUUGUUUCUUAGAUGAAGAAUUUGCUAAAAGAUAUAGCAUAUCUUUAAUGAAGAAAACUAAACAUAUUCAUAUAGAAGUCACAGAUGGUCGUCCAUUGUCUUCAAAAAAUUUUAUUCAUGAAACUCUUCCUAUAGAAGCAAUAAAUAAUAAUUAUAGUAGCUUUGUAAUAUUUAAUAUGAUUAAAUCUUCUUCUAAUUGAAUAAUUUUAGAUUUAUCAUUGCUAAAAAAUAUAAUCCAAAAAUAGAUUGAAUUUCUUGUAGUCUUGAUUUAUUUGAAAGUAUAACUAAGAAUAUAAUUGAUCAAGUAGAAAGACAUAAGUCUACUAUAAUUAAAUCUAUAUUUGUAGGUGCAAAAGCUUUCUUGCAUGUUAGAAAAAAAAGAUUAUCUUAUGUCAUUCAUAUUGUAUCCAUUUCAAAUAGUAGAAAGACUUCAAGCGACAUUCUAAGCCAAUAUUAAGAUUUUCAAGAUGUAUUUGAGAGAAAGAAUGCUGAUACUCUACCAAAAUAUUAUCCCUAUGAUUAUUCAAUUGACCUUUAAGAAGGAACUCAAGUGCCAUUUGGACCAAUUUAUAAUUUAUCAUAAAAUAAAUUGGCUAAAUUCAAAAAGUAUAUUGAAGAAAAUCUAGCCAAGAACUUUAUAUGCCAUUCCAAAUUUUCGACAAGAGUUCUAAUUUUAUUUGUAAAGAAAAAAGAUGGAUCAUUGCAAAUAUGUAUCGAUUAUCAAGGACUCAAUAAAAUCACCAUCAAGAAUAGAUAUCUACUACCUUUGAUAUCAAGACUUCUUGAUUAAUUAUAUCAAUCUAAGAUCUAUACAAAAAUAGAUCUAUAAGGGGCAUACAAUUUGGUAUGCAUCAAAAAAGGAGAUGAAUAGAAGACUACAUUUUGAACAAUGUAUAAACAUUUUGAAUAUAAUGACAUGCCUUUUGGACUUAUAAAUGCACCAAUAGCUUUUGAAUAUCUAAUGAAUGAUGUUUUUUGAGAGUUUUUAGAUGACUUUGUUGUUUGUAACCUAGAUGAUGUCUCAAUCUAUUCUAAUAAUAUAUAAGAAUAUGAAUUUUAUGUUUGUUGUGUAUUACAAAAACUAAGAAAUACAGGACUUUAUGCCAAGAUAGAAAAGUGUAUAUUCUACACUACUCAAGUCGACUUCUUAGAAUACAUCAUUUCAAAUGAUGGAUCCUAAAAAAUUUCAAACUAUUAUAGUUUGGAAGAUUUCAAAAAUGGUAAGAAAUGUCCAAUGUUUUGUGGAAUUUGCCAACUACUACCAGAUCUUCAUCAAGAACUUCUCUCAAGUUGCAACUCCACUUAUCCAUUUGACUUAUAAAAACAAACUUUAAUGAAAUCAAGAAGUAAAAGCAAUAUUUAAAGCUUUGAAUAAAACCUCUAUUUUUACACCAAUCUUAUAUUACAUUGACUCUUGUAAGAUAUUUUGUUUCAAAAUAGAUGCAUCAAACUUUACUUUGGAUGCCAUAUUAUUAUAUAUAGAAAUAGAUAAUAAACUUCAUCUAAUAGCUUUUCAUUCAAGAAAAUUUCUAAUAGCCAAGAUCAGCUAUAAGAUUUGUGUCAAAGAACUUCUUGCAAUUAUAAUUUUUUUUGAAGAAUGAUGCAAUUAUCUAAAAGGUGCUUCUAAUCCAAUAUUUAUUUAUUCCAACCAUAAGAAUCUUAAAUAUUUUAUAUAAGAACCUGUUUUGAAUCAUGGCCAAGUCAAUUGGAGUAUGUCUUUAUCAAGAUUUGAUUUUAAGAUUACUUAUCGACCCAAAAAAUACUAAAGUUUGUUAGACGCCUUUUUUAGAUAUUUUUUUCUUGUAUCAUAAGAAGAAAAUACAUCUUUUCAUCAACAAAGCAUGAUUCUCUUGAUGUUGGAGCAUUUUCAUCUUCAAGCAAUAAAAUCAAUAUUGACUAUUGAUUCAACUCUUGUCAAGUAGUUUUGAUCAAGUAUAUCCUCUGAUCCUUUCAUUUAUGAUACCAAGAAUCUUUCUUCUAAGUCUUAUGAUGCUUCCAAGUUCAAGUUCAAAAAAAACCUACUCUAUUUUAAAAGACACUUAUACAUUCUAGAAGGAAAAGCAUGUUUAUGUAUUUUGUAAAUAUGUCAUAACUUUCCAACGGCUUGACAUUUUGGAUACAACAAGACUUUAAAACUUAUAUCUAGAGAUUUUUAGUAGUCACAAGUAUGAAAGGGAGUGAAAGACUUUGUUUAGUUAUGUAACAUUUUUUCAAGGUCAAAAACUCUUUAUUAUUGACUUUAUUGACUUUUCCAAUUGUUACCUAUUCAAGAACAACCAUGGUCUUUUGUUUCUAUGGAUUUUAUCAAGGAUCUUUGAGUCUCAAAUUCUUAUGACUCUAUAUUUAUGAUAAUAGAUCAUUUCACCAAGAUGGCACAUUUUGUACCAUGUACAAAAGCUAUUAUAUAUAAAAAAGUAGUCAAGCUUUUUCUUGAUAAUAUCUAUCGAUAUUAUGGAUUACUUAAGUUAAUUUAGUUUGUAUCAAGAUUUUAAAAAAAUCUUUUCAAGAUUCUAAAAGUAGACAUAAAACUAUAUUUGGCUUUCUAUUCUCAAAUUAAUGGACAAAUAGAGUGUAUAAAUCAAGCUUUAGAAUACUAUUUAAGGUGCACCAUCAAUUACCAAUAAGAUGAUUAGACAACUCUUUUGCUAUUGACAAAGUUUGUUUAUAAUAACAUAGUAUAUUUUUCUAUAUAAUAAAUAUAUAUAUAUAUAAUUUUUUGCUAAUUAUGGUUAUUAUCCACAACUUAAUGGUUUUAAUUUUUGAAAAGUUGAUAAUCAUGUGGUGGAAGAUUUGGCAAAAUAUUUAUUUGAAUUACAUACAAUAAUGAAGGGACGUCUAAAAGAUGCUAAAAAACAAUAAAAGAGCAAUGUGGAUGCUUAUCAUAAGGAACAACCUCAUUUCUACAUUGGUGAUAAGGUAUGGUUACUUUGUCAUAUUAUUAAAAUUAUUUGUUCUUAUGACAAGUUGAAUUAUCAUAGAUUUGGACGAUUUCCUAUUUGUGAACAAGUCAAUUCAGCUGCUUAUCAAUUAUAUCUAUCAUAGUCUAUGAAAAUCUAUUCCAUAUUUCACAUUUUUUUUUAAAAGCCAUAUAAAACAAUGAAUAUCCUAAGAAGAAGACAAAUACCACCGUUGUCGUACUGUAAAUGCUUACAAUAUGUAAAAAUUAAUUAAAACAUAUUAUAUGUUAAUAAAUCUAGAUGUGUGUUCGAGUGGCUAAUAGAUUAAAUUAAAAGGAGUUGGUAUAAGAAACUUUACUUUGUUUCUUUACUUGUUUUGAUUUUGACAUUAAAAAAAAAAAAAUAGGACCUAAAUGUUUAGUAUGAAGCCUUGGGAGAAGGUGGAAGCUUAAGGAUGAAAAUCUAAACUAGAAGGAUGCUAAUUGGAGGAAUGAAAGCAAGUCAUGGUGAGAUGAAGGCAAGGAAUGUGAAGGAGUUAUAAGGAGUUGAAGGCGGCGCUUUCAAAUCAAAGGUAGUAAGUAAGCGAUUUUGUUUGUAGUAAUGGUUGGAGCCAUAACUUGAGUAUUCGAACGAAUUUUUGACUCAAACUUUUUGGAGAAUGUACAUUUUUGUGUUAAAAAGCUAUACAUAUAAAUUUCGUAGCAUUUGAGCUUAUAUUUUGUGAGAUAUGAAGAAAAUUGCAUGCGGGUAUAUAAAGACAAAGAUUUGAAGCGGCUGUUAGGGUUUUCAAGAUAUCUCAAGAUCCGCAAUGAAUUUAAAAUUAAAAGUUGUUAUAAAAGUUAAUAAGAAUACAUCAGUACCUCAUGUAAAAUUUGAGUUUGUUUGGACCGUCGGAUUAGGAGAUAUGAGGUGUUGAAGUUCGGAAAAAUCUCCACAUAAGAAUAUACAAGGUUUUAGAGGAUUUUAUCAUAUUUUGGAUGUUGUUGGUUACUUGAGGCUUGUGUAUUUGGUAUAAUUGCUCAAAAGAGAAAAUUUAUAUAUAAACUUAGGGCUUCCUUUAUUUUGAAGCUUGAUUGAAUGAUUAGUGACAGCCAGAA